CUCAAAGCUCUUUCGGAGCGGUCCGGCCCUUUGAUGUUCGUUUACUUUGGCAAUUCUCCAACCUUUGUGGUUUCAUCGGCUGAGUUAGCUCGUGAGAUGUUCAAAACUCAUGACAUUGUGAUCUCGAACCGGCCCAAAACCACACCUGCUAACAUCCUCGUAUAUGAAUGCCAAGAUAUCACGUUCUCUAAUUACGGCGAGUACUGGAGACAAGUUCGGAAGAUUUGUAUUCUUCAACUCUUGAGUGUGAGAAGAGUGCAAUCAUUUCAGCAUGUUAGAGAUGAUGAAGUUUCAAGUUUGGUCACUAAAAUUCGCCUCUCAUGUCUUAAUAAAGGAGGUCCUCUUAAUUUAACAGAGAUGCUACUGACUGCUUCCAGCAAUAUAGUUUCCCUCUGCGUUCUUGGGAAGAAAGCUGAUGAAGAAGAAGAAAAUAUUGGAGACAGCAAUAAGCUGGGAGAGUUGUCAAGAAGGCUGGCAGAGCAGAUUGCUGCCUUUUGUAUAGGAGAUAUGUUUCCAUCUUUGGGAUGGUUAGAUGUUCUCUCGGGAUUCAUUGGUCGUCUCAACGCAACUGCUAGAGCAUUUGACGCGUUGCUUGAUCAGGUGAUUGAAGAGCACACGAACAAGGUAUCAAAAGGAAGUGGGGAUGAUGAUGACCAAUCUGAUAAAAAAGACUUUGUGGAUAUACUCCUCCAACUUCGAAAGGAUGGCAUGCUUGGGGCAGAGCUCUCUCAGGACAAUCUUAAAGCAAUUAUCCUUGUCUGUCCUUCCUCUCAACCAGCUAGUCUUAAUUAUUUUAAUUAUUAGCUCUCUCCUUUUCAAAAAAAAAAAAAAAAAAUUAUUAGCUCUCUCUAUAUUUUUACAUCUUUUACAUACAUCACGCACGCAAAAGCGCGCUCUUGCAUAUACAUAAACAUACAUCAAUACUAAAGGUUUUUCAUUUUUCACAUUCUCAGGACAUGCUUGUAGCAGGAACUGAUACUACUGCAACAACACUAGAGUGGGCAAUGGCAGAGCUAGUGAAAAAUCCAACUAGUAUGAACAGAGUUCGAGAAGAGGUUAGAAGUGUGGCAAAAGGGAAAUUAAAUAUAGACAUGAAGGAAAUUGAGAAGAUGGACUAUUUGAAAUGUGUUGUCAAAGAAACUCUAAGGUUACAUCCACCAGUUCCUCUCUUGGUUCCGCGAGAAAUGGCAGAGAGUAUCAAAUGGAGAGGUUAUGAUAUUCCUGCAAAAACUAGAGUGAUUGUAAAUGCAUGGGCAAUUCAAAUAGAUCCCCAAGUUUGGGACAGGCCAGAAGAUUUCUUGCCAGACAGGUUUUUCGCUAACCCGGUGGAUCGUAAAGGCCGAGAUUUCCAAUUUAUCCCCUUUGGUGCUGGAAGAAGAGGAUGCCCAGGGAUAUCAUUUGCGUUAGCUACAGUUGAGUAUGUGAUGGCCAACCUUUUGUACUGGUUUGAUUGGAAUUUGCCUCUUGGUGAAGUUGAGGAGAAUUUGGACAUGUCCGAAGUUAAUGGGCUAGUGGUUCAUAAGAAAUUACCUCUUCAUCUUGUGCCAACGCUCUACUCCCCUUGCUCUUAAUCUUGAUAUGUCUAGAAAAAUAUCCAUUGUACUUAUAUUCUAAUCAUGAUUAUCCUCUUUUAAUUCCCUCUUGUGAAAAAUUGUACCAGUGUUGUCUAUUUUCUUCUAUGUUCAUGGACACCUUGAGGAGCAAGUUAUUACCAAUAAAAUUUUAUCAUCUGUCCAUAUCAUAUUGGUCCUCUGCUUGAUCUUUUCCAUAAAUUCCAUCAAUCGGUUUAGAUUUAGAGAAAUACAAAAAGUUAACAAUUACCAAUGGUGCUAGUAGUCGUGGUUGCAAAAUAUUAUAUCCAUCGAGUUGAUAGGAGAUUAAUUACAACUAAUCAAGAACAAAUAAUUAUGAAGCUGAAAAAAAUAUACAACUAUGAUUGACAUGUUGACAGCAACGGCGAAUAUAUAUAAUAGUAACACCAAUCGUGUUGAUGGGAGACUAUUUGUGAAAAUUGUUUUUGGAGACUAUUUGUGAAAAUUGUUUUUUCAUUCAUAUUUUAUAUUCUUGUGGCUUGAAAGCAACUCUGAAAGCAACUCUAUGUCGAUCAUUUAUUUAUUUUCUAGUUCUUAUUUUAUGUAUACAGGUUGUUGAUAGGAGAUUAAUUGCAACUAAUCAAGAACAAAUAAUUAUGAAGCUGAAAAAAUAUACAACUAUGAUUGACAUGUUGACAGCAACGGCGAAUAUAUAUAAUAGUAACACCAAUCGUGUUGAUGGGAGACUAUUUGUGAAAACUGCUUUUUCAUUCAUAUUUUAUAUUCUUGUGGAUUGAAAGCGACUCUAUGUCGAUCAUUUAUUUAUUUUCUAGUUCUUAUUUUACGUAUACAAGUUGUUGAUAGGAGAUUAAUUACAACUAAUCAAGAACCAAUAAUUAUGAAGCUGAAAAAAUAUACAACUAUGAUUGACAUGUUGAUAGCAACGGUGAAUAUAUAUAAUAGUAACAAGUAACACCAAUCGUGUUGAUGGGAGACUAUUUGUGAAAAUUGUUUUUUCAUUCAUAUUUUAUAUUCUUGUGGCUUGAAAGCGACUCUAUGUCGAUCAUUUAUUUAUUUUCUAGUUCUUAUUUUAUGUAUACAGGUUGUUAUUUCAAAAUUCCACAAUUUUGCAUUGGAAAGGAAAGAUAGCAAAAUGUAGUUUAUAGAGUAACACGUAUGUCUACAACAAUAAACCCAUAAGGACGAAGCUCAAGCAUGCAAGACCAAACCCAAAUGAGUAGCCUCAUCUAUAACCUUGUAAUUGGGUUAUCUUACAUAGAUGACUCCAAGAACCAGGUAUUUAACUGUUUUUGUUUUUGUUUUUGUUUUUUUUUCCCAAUUAACUGCCGAUCACUCACCUGAAUUUUUACUCAAUAAUCUGCAUAACUCACAUAAGGUGAUGUUUGUCUAGAAAAUAUUUUAAAAUAGAAGUCCUGUAAGUAGAAUAUUUCAAAAUUUGCAAGUUUCCAAAAACACAAGUACAUCAACAUAUUAUUCUAUCAUAAGAGUUUUUCUGCACCCUUUGAACCAAUUAACCCUAAAAAAUUAAUUGCUUUACAAGUGAGCUAGAUUAAUUUGAACUUCAUACCUCUUCUUCCAUAAGAGAUUCUAUCAGUUGAACCACCAAUCCCACACCCACACAAAUUAAUUGAAGACAGGCUACAGCAACAAAUUACCUAGAUAUUUACUGAACAAAUGGAAUUCUACAAAGUGUUAAUUUCUACUGCACAAAUGGCAUUAAAUUAAACCAUAUACACCAAAUUAGAGAACAAAAUUCACAAAAAUAAAUCAUCUCCUGUCCAAACUGUUUCCCAAAUGUCACUCUUUGCCUUACAUGUUGAAAUUAAUUUCUCAAGAAACACCUGACAAAUUUCUUACCUGUAGAUUGACUCCAUGUAGUGGCACAAUAAUGAAGCUAUAAAUAGGUGAGUGAACAUACUCUAGAGAAAAUGAGAAAUUAAUGUUGUGGUUACAAAUUGAUAAUCAGAAUGGACUGCAAUCAGAAUGGGCUGCAAUCAGAAUGAUAAUUGAAAUAAAAAAGGAGAAUGGAAAUCAUAAUAAAUUGCUAUAAGUUAUUAAAAUGACCUUAAUUUAUUAUUGUUGCCGUCAUUAUUGUCAUCAUCAUUAUUGCUAAUAUUAAUUAAUUAAUUAUUAUUAUUAAUAAUAAUAUCGUCGUCGUCAUUAUCAUUAUUAUCGUCAUUAAUUCUAUUAUCAUUAAUUAAUAAUAAUAUUAUUAUUUUUAAAAUUAUUACUAUUAAUUAUUCGAUUUAUUACCAUUAGUCAAUAGUACUCGUAUUAUUAUUAUUAUUAUUAUUAACAAAAAUUACAAAAAUUAGAAAAAUAACAGUAAUAAUAAUGUAACAUAAUAAAAUUAAUUGAGGAUAAAAGUAGAAUUAUGAAAUUGGAAUGAGGGUAAAAUGGGGAGGAGCUCAAGGGAUGGGAACUUGAUUCCCACCCUGCUCUCCCCACAUGGGAAUAAAGUUCCCAUUCCUUAAUCCAAAAAACAUUUGGGCCUCACAUAUUUCGUUCUUAUUUCCACUUCUAUUUCAGUAAGUAAAUAUUAUCAAUCAUUUCCAUUCCAAAUUCUAAUUCCCUAAUCCAAGAAAGUAAAUGCGCCAUAAGCGAAAUUAGACAGCAGGAGAGCAAGUGGUAUCUUAAGCUCAAUCAUGGCCAAAUUUUGUCCCAGACAUGCUCGAGGACCAAAUCCAACUAGCAUGUCUUAUAGUUUAAUUUUAAAUGGUAUGAGUACCCAAGUAGGUGGACUAUAGUCAUUCUCUAUGUUGAGAACCAUGGCUGCUGUAAAGGAUAAGGCAAACUGAUUAAUUGUCAAGGUGGAGUUACUACUAUUCAAAUCAAAGUGGAGACUUUUUGAAUAAAAGUUACAUGAAUAGUUUAAUAUUCAUUUGUAGUAAAAGUUGAGAAAAGGAACUAACAAAUUUGCAUGCAUUCCUUGGAAGUUUUAGUUUAUUUUGAAGUUUGCAUGGGCAUUAGAUAUUGGCAUGAAUUUUUUUUACUUUUGUAGCAUGCAAAUAAACGCAUGAAUGCCAAGAACUCUUUACAUGCAUUAACUUUCAUGCAUUCAUUCACAUACCAUAAAAGUAAAAAAAUUCAUGCUAACAUUUAGUGCCCAUGCAAACUUCCAAAGAAACUAAAACUUUCAGUAGAAUGCAUGCAAAUUUGUUAGUUCCUUUCAACUUUUUUUAACAUUUACUGCAAAUGAAUAUUAAAUUAUUCAAGUCACUUUUAUUCAUCAGCACGUACAAAUGUGGGUGCUUGCAAGCAACUGUUAUUCCUAAUUUGUCAACAGUAGCUACCAACAAUUUUCUAAUUUCCUUAAGCAUUAAAAAUAAUAUUAACAGGAAUAUCCACUAAAAAAUGCAAAAUCAGAUUGGAAGCUUACCAAGAUGACCCUACUUUGCUGCCGCAUGAAAUGAAUCAUAUCCAUUCCUGGCUGCAAUAGAGGCAGUUUCAAGGUUCAUAUGUUGAAGCAUCUCUUCAACCAUCUACCACUCUCUGCAGCCACAUAAAGGGGAGUCUGGCCUUCUUGAUUUUGUUUCGACAACAACUCCUUAGCUUCACUAGAAUCACAACCCUGCAAAAUCUCUGUAACUUUACUUAAAUUCCCAGUUCGAGCUGGCAAGUGUAGCUGCAAGUGACUUCUUUUUCCUGGCAAAACCUUAUUCUUCUUCCUCUGACCACCACCUAUAAAACUCAGCUGUCUCUCCGUCACUAUGCGAAAACUCUUGUUUUUCCAUCACAAGUACUCAGCUGUUUAUCAAUAGUCACACCAUGAAAACUCUGCUGUUUCUCUAUCACUCCACGAGCACUAGGCAGUUUAUUAGUGCGCACACCAUGAAAACACUGCUGUUCUUCCAUAACCCUUUGAAUACUAGGCUGUUUUUCAAAGGCGACACUGAAAAUACUUUGCUGUUUCUCCAUUGUCCAUGUCCUAAAACUGCUUUGUUUUCCAUUAUCAUGGACAGAACUAGACUUAAUACCCAAAACUAGCUACAAAUAUCACUGACACUCAGCAUCCAAAUCCUCGAUGUACAAAAAAUUGAAACAUCAAACCUUGAAUUUCAAAAACCCAGAAAUCAUUUCUUUUCCUCCACAAUCAUCCACAAAGCUUCACACAGAUUGAUAUCAAAAUCAAAUAAUUAACUUUCUUGCAAUCACAACUACGAUUCCCUGUACAAUUUCAAGUCUCUAAUUCAAGAACCAAAUUUUACGCAUUUGAGCAAACAUACCAAAAACCUACUCAUAUAGCAAUAUAUAUCAACAACGACCCAGGCUCAAAAAAAAAAAUAUAUAUAGAACCUUGGAAUUGGAUAACUUGCUUUUUGAGUUAAAACUCAAGUCUUUGUGGUUACCGAGAAAAACAAAAUUGAAAAUAAACGAACCCAAAUCAGCAAUUCACUAAAUUGAAGAACCCAGAAACAGAUUUUUAAUUUUCAAAAGAUCAUAACCUCAAUCAAACCCUCAGUUCUUUUGACCGCUGGGGCGUACCUUAGAGUGAAGACAACUGACAUAUAACAAGCACUCCACAAUUUAAACCGCUACCAGACUACCAGUUGCUUGUGACGUUAUUUUAUUUUAUAAUUUUCAACAAUUAAGAUGCUUUAUCUUUUUAAUUUUAUUUAAUUUUAUAUUCAUUUUUGGGCCACUAAGCAAGUUGCAUUAGCUGAAACUUGCUGAAAAUAAAACAGAUCCUGUCUUUUAUUAUUUUAUUUAUUUUGUAGGUAAAUUUUAUUCCUCAAGGUAUAUUAGAGAAAAGGGUUUGGCUAGAAUGCCAUGCCGGGCUCUCAAAAAGAGAGCCCGGCUGUCUUUGGCUGUCAUUUGGCAACCAAAGACUUGGUGCAGCCGGUUAACAAACCGAUUGCACCUUUUUUUUUUUUAAAAAAAUAAUAAUAUAAAAAUGAAAAAAAUUAAAUAAAAUGUAAAAAAAUAUUUUUUUAUAAUAUAAUUAAUAGAAAAAGAUAAAGAAAUUGAAUAAUAUAAUACAAUAUAAUAUAAUAUAAUUAAAUAAAGCAAUUUAAAAUGAAAAAAAUAGUAUUUCAUGUUUAGCGUCCGUUGUUUCAUGUCCGACGGUAGGAUUUCAUGUUUGACGUCAGAUGUUGCAUGUUUUGGAUAAAGCCAAAAUAAAGAAUAUUCUCGAAUAUUCUCGUCCGUUUCAUGUUUUACGUCCAUGUUGCGAACUUUACGUGAUAAGUUGUAUAUUUCACGUGAAGUGUUGCAAGUUUCAUGUUUAACGUCAGUUGUUGUAUGCCCAACGGUAGGAUUUCAUGUUUGACGUCAUAUGUUGCAUGUUUUGGAUAAAGCCAAAAUAAAGAAUAUUCUCGAAUAUUCGUGCCCGUUUCAUGUUUGACGUCCAUGUUACGAACUUUACGUGAUAAGUUGUAUAUUUCACAUGAAGUGUUGCAAGUUUCAUGUUUUACGUCAGUUGUUGUAUGUCCGACGGUAGGAUUUCAUGUUUGACGUCAUAUGUUGCAUGUUUUAGAUAAAGCCAAAAUAAAGAAUAUUCUCCAAUAUUCUCGCUCGUUCCAUGUUUGACGUUCAUGUUGCGAACUUUAUGUGAUAAGUUGUAUAUUUCACGUGAGGUGUUGCAAGUUUCAUGUUUAACGUUAGUUGUUGCAUGUCCGACGGUAGGAUUUCAUGUUUGACGUACGAUGUUGCAUGUUUUGGAAAAAGCCAAAAUAAAGAAUAUUCUCGAAUAUUCUCACUCGUUUCAUGUUUGACGUCGAAGUAGUGAACUUUACGUGAUAAGUUGUAUAUUUCGCGUGAAGUGUUGCAAGUUUCAUGUUUAAUGUCAGUUAUUGCAUGUCGGACAUAACGGCUGCAUGUUUGACGUUAGAUGUUGCAUGUCUUGAAUAAAGUCAAAAUAAAGAAUAUUCCCGAAUAUUCUUGCUCGUUUCAUGUUUUACGUCAGUUGUUAUAUGUCGGACGUCACAGUUGCAUGUUUGAUUUUAGAUGUUGCAUGUCUUGAAUAAAGCCAAAAUAAAAAAUAUUCUUGAAUAUUCUCGUCCGUUUCAUAUUUGACGUGGAAGUUGCGAACUUUACGAGAUAAGUUCCAUAUUUCACGUGAAGUGUUGUAAGUUUCAUGUUUAACGUCAGUUGUUGCAUGUCAAACGUAACAGCUUUAUGUUUGACGUUAGAUGUUGAAUAAAGGUAAAAUAAAGAAUAUUCCUCAAUAUUCUCGCCCGUUUCAUGUUUGACGUCGAAAUUGCAUACUUUACGUAAUAAGUUGCUUAUUUGACGUGAACUGUUGCAAGUUUUAUGUUUUAUGUCAGUUAUUGCAUGUCGGACAUCACGGUUUCAUGUUUGACGUUGGAUGUUGCAUGUCCUGAAUAAAGCCAAAAUAAAAAAUAUUCUCGUAUAUUUUUCAGAGUAAUUCUAGAAAUAACGGUUAGCCGUUAUCAGAUAACGGUUGACCGUUAUCUUCCAGAAUCAAAUUAGCAGUUACACUAAUUUCUAGAAGAUAAUGGUGAACCGUCAUCAAAUAACGGCUCACCGUUAUUGUCUAGAAUCAUUUUCGACAAUAACGGUGAAUCGAUUUUGGAUAACGGCUAACCGUUAUCUUCCAGAAUCAUUCCGGAGGGAUAUGGAUGUGAAUUAUGUUCACCCAUACUUUGGUCUUGGAUGGUUGAUAUGAAUGUGAAUAUUUGAUAAUCCAUAUAUUAUGUGAUCAAUUUAUUGUUAAUAUGGAUAUGAAAUAUUUUAUCUCAUAUUUGAUGUUAUUAAUUUAUUAAUUGUAAUAUGGAUGGGAAUAGGGAUGGCAAUUAUACCCGCAAACCCAUAAACCCGCCCAAACCCACCCGCCAAAACCCGCCCGCUGCGGGUAAUUUUAUCCGUUGCUGGCGGGUUUAGUAUUAUAAAUUAAAACCCGUACAUGGAUGCGGGUGGGUUUGGUAUUAGCCUUAUAUCUAGUGGAUACCCGCAUGGAUAUCCACCAAACCCACAAUAUUUUUUCCAAAUAUUUUUAAUUUAAUUUUAAUCUAAAAAUGUAUAAAGAAAAUAAUGUCAUUAUUCAAAUUACCAAAUAGCCAAAGGUUCAAAGUUGUGUAUGUGUGUAUGUGGCCCAUCUCCCAUUCUAAAGUCAUAAACUAAAUAAAACUAAAGGCAUUUCCCUUCGAAUUAGUAUUUAAAAAUAUUAAUCUUAAUUAUUAUUAUAGGCAUUGUGUUGGAUGGGUGCUUAUGGUGGUGAAUGAAAUGAAUAUCUUCUCUCAGAGCUUGUUUUAAAUGAUAAUAUGAAAUGUAAUUAUUAUUUUUAGAUACUAGUUUGUAUUUUUUAAAUAGAUUUGUGUAAUUUAUACUUAACUUUGAGAAUUUGUGUUGGAUUGAUAUUGAAAUUUUAAUUUUUCAUUUACAUUGUUUAAAUACAAAAUUGAGUAUGUUAUAUGGAAUUUGAGGUUAUUAUUAUAAAUUUAUAUAUUAAACAUUUGUGAUUUUAAAUACGGAAACCCGCAAAAAAUCCGCCGGGUACCAUUGCGGGUUUGGUAAUUGUUAAAACCCGCUGCGGGUGGGUUUUUUAAAAAAAAUUAAAACCCGCUGCGGGUUGCGGGUGGGUUUGGUAAUUUAAAUUUUGUGCGGGUUUGGGUUUGGUAAUGGCAAACCCGCUGCGGACGGUGCCCAUUGCCAUCCCUAGAUGGGAAUUAUAUUAACCCAAAGGCUAAAUAUGAGUAUUCCAUAGAAUAAUAGCAAGUUACAUUUUCUAUCAAGCAUUUGACAAAUAUGUAAUUUUCUAUCAAGCUGAUUAAUAUAAAAAAAUAUCAAACACUUCUAUUCGUAACUAAAUACAAAAUAAUAGUGCAUUUCAAAAUUCCUUGACAAUUCAAAUGAUAAUUUAUAAUUAAACUUAUUUUUAAUAUUUUUUAAUUAUUAAUUAAGUUUAAUUAAGCCAAUCUAUUAAGUUUUAAUUUUUUUUAUUAUUAACUAAGUUUAAUUAAGCCAAUCUAUUAAGAAACAAAUAUGGAAAUGUUGCCUUAGCGUUAAAAUUAUUUGGUAAUUCAAGUGAUUAUUGUUUGAUACUCCAAGUAAUAAUUUAUCAAUUUAACUAUUAUUUGAACCAUUUAUUUUGUAAUUUGUUUAAUUUUUCAAGCAAAAACUAACUAUGAUGACAAUUUUAUAUUACCAAACAACAAAAAUGUUAAGUUCCAUUGGUAAUUUUUAAAUUUUUUAUUCUGCAUAAAGGGUCAAAUUCAUUGUUGCAAUUUUCUAAGGAAAGAAUCUUUUAUAAUUGAAUUAAGCUCAUAAAAGGAAUGCGUAUUGAUAAAAACUAUAGAUUAUAUAACUAAAUUGCAAAAAUUAAAUUGGGCAAGACAAGUAUGUUUAAUAGUACAAGGAAGCAAUCAAAACUAGCAACACAUAUAUGGCAUGUGCAUUAGUUUAGCAUUAUUAAUAUCUAAAUUGAUAGCAAAUACCCAAAAUAAGAUCACAUUUUCUUUGGCUAUUCUUCUAGUAUUGCAGAAAAUUUGUAGAAGAUCAUGAAAAAAGCGGCGGGGGGGGGGGGGGGGGGGGGGGGGGGGGGGGGGGGGGGGGGGGGGGGGGGUGGGGGGAAGGGAAUAGCUUUUUCCAAACUAUAAAAUAGAUACCCUAAAAUAAGUGCUUAUUUUGACAUAAUCAAGCAAUAAAUUGUAAAAACGUACAAAUAUAUCAUAGCUGGAAUUAAAGAAGCCAUAACAAGAAUAUUCCCCGCAGAUAACUCAUCUAGGGAAGAGAUUGUUUAUGAUAUAAAAUUUUAGUGGGUAGCAAUCAGAUUAAUAAGCAUAAGCAUUGACAAAAGCAUCAAGUUGCAAUAAAAACCUAAUGACUAACUAGAGUAGAUUCAUCUAACACACUAAAAUGCCUAUAAAAUUGUUGAAAUCCAUCAUUCACAUGCGGAGUUGCAGGAAGCUUUAGCAUGUCAUGUUGGCUAUUGAGCUUGGCAACAUCAAUGUGAGUCUUGCGAUUCAUGUUCUGCAGAGUUCUAUGGUAACAGAAGAUAAUAUAGUAGAAAGAAUUAAUCAUAUAGCAUUUUGUAAAAUAGAGACAAGAGUUAAAACAGUAUUGGGUGUUGGCUUACACAGUAGCACCGUUCUUCAACAGAGGGGCUACACAUUCCUUCUAGUCAUAAUUAGCUACAUAAUGUAAGGUAGUACUUGUUCUUAUCCACAGCUAACUAUGGCCAAUGGGCCGUGCCGUGCCGGCACGGCCCACCAACUGUCGGCCCAUAAGGGCUCGUGGGCCGGCACGGCACGGCCCACCAAUUUGGUGGGCCGUGCCGUGCCGUGCCUACCUUUUUUCAGUUGAGCCCAGCACGGCCCACGGCACGAGCCCGCUCGUGCCGUGCUCGUGCCGUGCCCAAAAAAAGCCCACCAACUUUUUUUUUUUUUUUAGCGUGCUUAAAAAAGCCCACGUGCUUUCUUUAAGCCCACGUGCCUAACGUGCUUUAUUCAAGCCCACGUGCCUGACGUACUUUUUUAAGCCCACCAACAUAAUAAUAAUAAUAAUAAUAAUAAUAAUAAUAAUAAUAAUAAUAAUAAUAAUAAUAAUAAUAAUAAUAUUCACAAUCAUAUUAAUUUUUAUUAAGAGAGUAAUUAACAUUUUAUUAUUAGUUUAUCACAAUUUCACAACUAUAUAUUUUAUUUCACAAUAAUCAAUCAUAAUUCAUAACACAACAAUACAUAAAUUUAAUUUAAUUUAAUUCCAUAGAUCAUAAUAAUAAUUAAUUAAAAUUAAAAAUACAAUCCUCGAAUAAUCAUUACAAUAAGUCAUAACUACGAAAUAUUAAUAUAACAAAUCAUAGGUCAUAACUUACAAGUUACAACUACAAAACACGAACUACGAUCAAUUGACGAAUAACAAGCACGAAAAAAACAUUUAUUAAUCACAAUUCACAACUAUGGAUACGGGAAACGAGCAAGGUUAAUUCUAUCUCGGCUGGUGGCGAGCUAAACAAUUUGACACGUGCCGACGUAAACCCAAGGUGCCAUGGCUGUUUGAAUAAAUAACUUCUCGAUGACAAUAGUUGCACCUCAAGAUCAUCCGCUUAUAAGGACGAUGCAAACCAUUAUCUAUUAUUUCCUCCCUUAUUGUAGUAAAAUUUUGAAAAAGCUCAUUUAGAAAACGACCUCUGGGCUGAUUUAGCCUAGCAUUUUGUUGAGGUCCAACUACAUCAACAUCGUAUUCUUGAGGGUGUUGAGGUUCUUCUGCAUUCAUAUUAUGUUGCUGCGGAUUCUUAAUGAUUUUGGCUUUUAGAAUAUUGGAAAGUUUGAGGAAAAAGAAGAAGAAGAAGAAUUGUGAAGCAUCAUAGCAUAAUGGCGUGUAUAUAUAAUAUUAGAUAGUAAUAAAAAGACAAAAAUUAAUUUUAUUUACUUUGUUGGUGGGAGUAAAAAGAGUAAGUAAAAAAAUAUUUAAUGAAAUAUAAAUAUAGCCGUAAGGCAAGUGCUUGCUUGGCAUGUGGGAAAAAAAUCUUAAAUUAUUUAAAAAUCUGCAAUCUGAACGUCUGCAUGUGCACUAUAUGACAAGUUGACAAAUGACAACUACCGUGUUAAAAAUUUGAGUUGAGAAUUUAAAUUCAAAAAAAUUAAGUACUCUACAUAAUGAAUGCAGGCUCCUCCCGUGGACCCGUACUACUAGUCUACUAGUUUACUAUUAUAAUAUUCUCUUAUAACAAUGAACCAUAAUUUUUUUUUAAUUUAAUAUGUUGUUUUGAAAAAAAAUUAAUUACAAAAAUUAUUUUAAAAAAUAAAUAACAACGGUGCACUUAAAAAAUAAAAUUUUCUAAUUAUUAAAUAAUAAAAAAUUGUAAAUGAAUUUUAUUACUCACCCAACGGAUAAAAUUUUUUUUGAAUUAAUUGAAUUUAAAAAAAUUCUGAAUUAAUUAAAUUACUCACCCAACGGACAAAUUUUUUUUUGAAUUAACAGUAAAAUUGAUAUGACUACUCAAUUUUACAGUAUAAGCAGUCGGGCUCUGAUUAUCAAUUAAUAUUUUUUUAUUUUUAAUGACAAAAAAUUUUUAAAUUAAUUUCAUAUUUUCAUUACUCACCCAACGGACAAAAAAAAACUGAAUUAAAAAAAUUCUGCAUUAAUUGAAUUAACAAUAAAGUUGAUAUACCUUUCCAAAAAAUAAAAAAGCAAUAAAGUUGAUGGACUUGACUAGUCAAUUUCACUUUCACAGCAUGGGCAUUCAUGACUCAACAAUUAGACUUGACUGGCUUACAGAAUUUGUAAGCUACAGACUGCAACAUCAGCCGUUGGAUGUGGAGUGAGAAGCUAAACAAUAGACAAUCGAAUGGUGGGAAUGGGAUGACAGGAGAUGUUUGUUACAGUCUUGCAGAAUCGGUACCAUAGAGUCAUACAGAUCCCUCAACAAUUAAUUUUUAAUGAUAAAAAUUUUUAAAUUAAAUCAAUUACUCACCUUACAAUUCCAAGUUUCCAACGGACAAAUGAAUGAUAAAAUUUGCUGCAGCCUUGCAGAGUUGCAGGAAGUUUUACAGUUGUAGAUUUGUAGGUUUGCAGAGUGUUUGCCCGUUUUUUACCGUUAAAAUGUUUACUUUUUUAUUUGCCCGUUUCUAGCCGUUAAUAUGUUUACUUUUUUAUUCUAUUUAAACGAUUAAAUUCUUUUCGAAUUCAUCUCACAUUCUCACAUUCUCACUUCUCAAUUUCUAAUUUUCUAUCUCCUCGUUAUCUCUCUUAUCUCAUCAGUCAUCUCAUCUCUAGUCUCUGCUUGACCAAUCUUAUUUGCUACAAUUCCAGCGCCUUUAUUUACCAAAACACUAAUUAUAUAAAAUGUCUCACUCUCAUUUCGAGUUAGAUGAGAAUUUUAAUUUUGUUGAAGAGGGGGAGGAAGUUGCAAAUGAAGAAAUUGCUGCACCAGAAUUUGAUCCAAGUAAUAUAUUUAUUGUCCCACCUGAACGAUCGCCUCCUACUUCUCAAGCAAGUCAAAGUGGUUCUACUUCUUCAACUGCCGGUCCUACUACUACCUCCAAACGACAAAGAACAUCGAUUGUUUGGUCAUGUUUUACUUUGGAAAAACGUCAAAACAAAAAAGGUGAAAUGGUGGAUCAAGCAGUGUGCAAAUAUUGUCAAUCUGCUUUAAGUGCCAAAAGCAAUGGUGGAACUGGACAUCUUAGACGACAUAUGGAAACUUGUCAGACAAAACACGCGCCACAAGACCCAACACAAACCCAACUCUCACAAUAUGGUUCUGGACCUUCCGGUAUAACAUCAUUCAGAUAUUCACAACAGAACAUGCGAGAAGGAUUGGCUCGGUAUAUUGCUGCAGCAGAACAACCUUUAACAUUUUCAGAAGAUGAACGUCUAAUAAAUUUUUUGCAAAGGUAUGUUCAACCUCAACUUAAGAAAGUGCCUAGAAAUACAUUAAAACGUGAUUUAACUAAAAUUUUUCAUGACAUGAAAAAAAUUUUAAUUAAUACUUUUAUCAAUUUUAAUGGUGUUAUUUCAAUUUCUUCUGAUUGUUGGACUGGUAUUAAUAUGGUUGGUUAUUUUUGUGUGACUUCGCACUCUAUACAUGAGAUUAAUGGUAAAUGGAGGUUGGAAAAAAAAUUGCUUGCAUUUCGUGAAUUAGAAUAUCCUCACACUGGUUCAGUAAUUUAUGCAGCUAUAAUGUCUGUUUUAAGAGAAUAUGAAAUUACUGAUAAAUUGUUUAGCAUAUCAUUUGAUAAUGCAUCUGCCAAUACAGCGGCAAUUGAUAUGUUUUUGCGGAAUAUUUCUACUCUCAUGCCUGCACGUGGUUCAAAAAUUUUUCAUGUGAGAUGUGUGUGUCAUAUUAUUAAUUUAAUUGUUCAAGCUGGUAUGACUCAUAUAAAUCAUUAUUUAGAAAAAAUUAGAGCAUCAAUUUUAUAUAUUAGAGCACCUUCAAGACGUCAACAAUUUUUGGAGACAUUGAAAAUUUUUGGAUUGAAAAGGAGAAAAUUCAACCUUGACAUGAAAGUUCGUUGGAAUUCUACGUAUUUAAUGUUGCUUUCUUGUCAAAACUAUUCUGAAGCAAUUUCUAGUUUUUACAAUGAGAGAAUGAAUGAUGAAGAUUAUCAUAUCACUGAUUAUGAUUGGAAUGUUGCAUUUAAAUUUAUGGAUUUUUUAAAGGUAUUUUAUGAUGCUACUCUUGCAUGUUCUACUGUUUAUGAGCCUACUUCAUGUAGAGUGUUAAUGCAUUUGUACAAUAUAAGUUAUACUUUUAAGACUUUUAGAGAGAAUAUUAUGUUUAAAAAUAUUUGUGAUACCAUGGAGGAAAAAUUCCAAAAAUAUUGGAAAGAUAUUCCCCACCUAUUUAUUUUUGCAGCAGUGUUGGAUCCUACAAUCAAGGAAGUUGGUGCAAAACUUUUAGUUGAGGGUAUUAGUGAAAAUUUACAAACCGGACUUGAUACAAAUUUUGAUACAAUUAUGUCCUCUAUGCAUGAACUUUUUAAUUUUUAUCGAAAUAAAUUCGGAUCAAGCAAUACAUAUUCUAAUGUUCAACAAGCAUCGACUUCUUAUAAAAAUCCAGCUCACCUUUUGUUACUCAAAGGUAAGGGUGUUGCCUCUAGUAUUGAUACUAAUCGUAAUGAAUUGCAAAGAUAUUGUUCUGCCAAUCUUGAAGAUUUAGCAACUCCUUCACAAUUGCAAAAUUUUGAUAUUUUAGAUUUUUGGAUGGGUAAGACAUCUUUUUUCCCUAUAUUAUCCAUUAUGGCCCGUGAUCUACUAACCCCUCCAGCUUCAACUGUAGCAUCAGAAUCAGCUUUUAGUACAGGUGGCAGAGUUCUAGAUGAACAUGGGUCAAGAUUGUCAUCAGAGACAUUAGACUCUUUGUUGUGUUUGAAAGAUUGGGAAGAUGCUGAACGCCGAGUGCAACAAGAUUGGCAAAAUGCUUUAAUUAAACAAAUUGAGAGUUUGAAUGUUGAUCAAGAUGAAGUGGAUCCAGAUUAUGCAGAGUACUGAACAUUGAAGCCACUUCCAAAGACUAGAGAUUUUUUUUUUCUUGUAACUUUUUGAAACAAUUUUUAUUAGUGAGAAGGUUGUAAAUUUGCAAAUGAUAGAUGGUUCAGUAGGUGCCAACCUAGUUGGGAUGUACUGUUAACUGUAGUGAUGCAAAUUACACCUAAUUUUAUUUGAAUUACUAAUAUUAUAAUUGUACUUUAACUUCAUUUAAUGAAAAUGUAAUUUUUAAUUUAUCAUAAUUUUUCUUGUGUAUAAAAUGGAAAAUAUUUCAUUCACAAAUUAAACGCAUCUCUAUUAAAUAUUAACUAAGUUAUGAUUUAAUAUUAAUAUGAAAAAUAUUUUAUUAUUAAUUUUGAAAAAAAAAAUUAUUUUUUAUUUAUAAUUUAUAAAUUUAUGAUAUUUAUAAUCUUAUUUAUUAAAAUCAUUAUAUUUAGUUAUUUACUUAUUCAUUUAAUAAAUUAUAAACAUAAAUAAAUAAUUAAAUAAAUAUCAUAAAUAAAAUUAAAUAUCAUAAAUAACAUUAUUCAUUUAAUAAAUAUCAUAAAUAAAAUUAUGAUAUUUAUAAUUUUAUUUAUUAAAAUCAUGAUAUUUACUUAUUCAUUUAAUAAAUUAUAAACAUAAAAGAUUAGAAUAUUUAUUUAAACUAAGAUUUAAUGAUUUAAAUUAAUUUUUAAAAGUCUAUGCUAAAAAAUAUAUUAAAACAUUUAAUUUCAAGAUAUUGUACUUUAAUUUCAUAACAUUUUAUAUUUACUUUUUGUUAAAAAAAUUUACUUAGAUAUAUUUUGGCCCACGUGCUAUUAAUGGGUCACGGGCCGCGUGCUAGCCCACUAAUGAACCGUGCUUAUUACGUGCUUUUUUGCGUGCCGUGCUUUGGCCCAUCUCUAAUCGUGCCGUGCUUUAAGGCCCGCGUGCCUAAAAUUCUAGGCCCGGCACGGCCCACCUGCGUGCCGUGCCGUGCCUCGUGCCUCACCGAAACGUGCUCGUGCCGUGCCGUGCCGUACGGACACGUGCCGUGCCCGUGCCGUGCCACGUGCCGCCCGGCCCAUUGGCCAUCUUUAUCCACAGCAUCCACAUUUGCUCCAGCCUUAAGUAGGAGUUGAGCACAUUCCACCUAAAGCAUUCAAGUGCAUUUGAUUAACUCCAUGUCAUAAACUCGGCCAAUUUGCCAAGGAAGUUUUCAUUAAAAAACUAACUAGAAAGUGGUCCUAAUUAUCCCUAGGAGAUGAACAAUUGAUGCCAUAAACCACAGAAGUUAGCUCAAACUGUCACUAGAAAGCCCCAGUUAGCACAAAUACUAGUUUGCGAUUGGCUUUAUUAGCACUUCCUCAACUAAAUAACCAAAAACACAAAACGUUAAGAAAUAUUUAACUCUAUCCAAAUCAUACGCCCUACCUUUAAAACUCAAACAAAAAGGAACAAGAAAAAUAAGUAACAAUGGGUAAAGCUCAGAUUGUUUUACCUCACCAUAUCCGCAGGCAAAAUGCAACGUUGUCCUUCCUUCUAAAUCUUCCUCAUCCUUAUUAGCACUGGCUGCUAGUUUAUUUUUCAUACCCUAAUUGAAGAGCAGUAAGAAAAAAUUAAACUUUUAGCAAGAUACUAGAAAAAAGUACAUUGCAUCAAAUGUAUACACUAAAUCAACUUCAAUAGCAUUAGCACAACAUAAAACUAGAAACAAGAAUUUCUAUUAAAUAAUAGUGACAUAAAAAAAUUUACAAAUUUUGUUUUGGUUGAUUGAAUAAGCAGAACAUGUUCUUUUUCCACACCAAGUUGCAUUGCAUAAAAGAAAAAGAAUAUUAGAGAAUCAGUAAAUCCAAUAUUUUGAAGAGAACUUAGAGAUUAAUUUGGCCUCCAUAUACUCUUGAAUAGCCUUGCAAGAUGCAUAAGAUUAGUUCACAUCCAGUCCCAAUUCAGGCACAAUAUAAUGGCUACACCCAAUUAAACAAAUUAAAAAGCAAAAUCACAAAAAAUAAAGAAUAAUGCUAGUGAUAUACAAAAUACCAGUCAUUAAAUAAUAAUUUCACCUCUCUUUGAUGAUAACUAUUAAAAACUGAUGGAUGCCGUUGGGACGCAAAUAAGCAUCACUCAAAAACAAAUAAAAAUCUCGAGAACGCAAGUGAGGAAAGGCAAAAUGAUCAAAGAUAAUAGAAAAAACGAGGACUUACUAGUUAGCAUCAAAACACUAGGUCCUUUACAUGAUGAGAACAGAGGAGUUACCUCGAGCCACACUGAUCUUCUUGCAACUCAUCCGUGCUGCUCUUCCUGUCCUAGAAUGACUCCAAACAUAAACCUCAACUCUUUUUUUGGUUUCAUUCCAGAAUACGCCAAUGCAUAGAUUUUUAAAGAUUGCUCUGCAACCCCAAAAUAAUUAACUUAAAAUUCACAACCAAAACAAAAAAAGUCGGACCCAGAACAAUGGGUAAGUUCUUACCAAAUUAUUGAGCACCCAUCUUUAGUAUUCCUAGCAAAAAGUGUAGAGCUCAAAACAAGCAAACAACACCUAAAACCAAACAAGAAAAAAUUAGGGUACCCAUAGAAAAAUAACACUUAAAAACCAAACCUCAAAAAAUCAACCAAAAAAAAAAUUAACUUGUUUUGAGGGUUUUUGAUGGCAGCUUGGGGCAACUCACGGGGCAAUGAUUCCGGCCAAAGCCAGGACGACGACAGUAAAGGCUAAAGAACUAAUGGUGUAGACAACAGUGCAACGAAGGUAACGGUGGACGGUUGGAAAAGAAGCAGCGGGCACGAUACUGGCUCUGCCUCUCUCUAGCUCUCAUGUACUAACCAAAUUCCUGGGUAGAUGGAUCCGAUUGGUUGAUUAGUACGAGAGAGACGGUGGAUUUGAUCUUAGAUGAUGAGUGAAAAAAUCGGGAUGAGAGACACUAUGAAUUUGAAAGAGAGAUGAAAUUUUAGGGAUUUCUUUUUUGAGAGAGCAAAGAAAUCGGAUUGAGGUGAGAGAAAAUUGUGGGAUUUUCUUUUGAAGGAACCGGUUUACCAGGUAACCCAUUUAUUUCUAUUUUUAAUAUAAAUUUAAUCUCAACCGUUGGAUUCAAUUAGAUUGAAUCCAACGGUUUUUUUUCAAUUCCGGCAUGGUGCCGGGGCUUUAAUGCUCGGCAUUGUAGCAUUAGCCUAGAGAAAAAUUUGUGUGCUGGUAUGGACAUAUGGUUGGCCUACUCAUCAGGGACCCACCAUUGGGUAAGUUUAUUAAUUUUUUCAUUUAAUUUUUAGAUAUCAUUAUCGAACCAUUAAAGAUACUAUACUAUUAUAUUAUAUUAUAUUAAUUAAAUACUAAUAUAUUAUAUUAUAUUAUAUUACAUCAUUACUGUAUUAAAAUAAUAUUAUAUAAUAUUUAGUUCUAAUUAUAUUAUAUUAUUUUUAAUUAUGUUAUAUUUGGUGUUGCGCCAUAUUGUAUUGAUUUUUUAUUAUUAAUUUUUAUUAAAAAUUUAAAAAAAUCUACUAGUACUUAGAAAAAAUAUUAAAUUUAAAAUUCUUAAAUUUAAAAAUUUAACAUUAUUUUUUAGUAUAAAUAUUUUUUUAAAAAAUCAUAAUUAUUUAUAAAGAUCGAAGUUUAUGACCUUAAAUUUUGGACAGCAUAACAUUUAUUUUUUUACCUUUUCCAAAAUAUAUAACUUGUGAAAUAAAAAUUGAAGCAAAUAAUUUAAUUAAAUAACCUUUAGAUAAUAUCAAAACAUAAAUAAAAUACGUCCAAUCAUAUUUUUUUAGUUUCAUAAAUUCAAAUUCCACUAUUGCUUAAUCCUUCAAAGCUAGCAACUAAUGCAUUUUCACUUUCAAUCUCAAAGAAUUCAAAACCUCCAUUACUCUCACAUACCCAACAGACUAAUGCUCACAAAAACUAAAUGAUUUGAGAAAAACUCACCUGGAAGCUACAAACUAAUCAAAUAUGUUUAUGAAAUUCAAGAUGUUAAAAGCCUAGCACUAGCACACUGUCUAGUGUCAAUCACGCUUCCUGGACCUCAAAAGGCAUAUCAAUAUUGUUGCAGCUAAGUAAUGCCCAGUUAACAUAUCAAUAUUCUUGCAGCUACGCAUCAGAUGAACACUCAUUUGGAGCCCAUUUCCAUAACACAUCCUCAAAAGCAUAUGACUUUGCAUUGGAAAAUAUCUCUUGUUUCUAAUAUGAAAUGAAAAUUAAAAACAAACGUAUUUGCUAUAGCAGUUCCUUUAUUAAUGAGGAUGAAAUACAUCCAAAUAAGCUGACCAUGUCUGCAAAACUUUGCAAUAAGUAAGAAAACAGCAACAAAACCAAAAAAGUAAACACCUUUAAGAAUUAAAAUCGUUGACGACAUCAUAAGGAAUGGGAUCGACAGUUUCCAAUGUUGCACCUUCUACCAUAAAACUUAGUGACUGCUUCUUUAUACUGAUGACUUCACCUCUUGGCUUAGCUUUAGUCUUGAGUUCCUCAGCUUGAACUCGUUAGUAUCAGUAUACGUUGAAGUUAACAUGCUCCAUGGUAACGUGAAUCCUCUUCUUAAUGAUUUCUGUUACUAACCUGAAUAUAUGCAUAUAUUGAACAAAAUUCAGUAUUCUAUCAUCAAAAAAUGCAUAUGCAGGCAAUUAUAAUCAAUUCAAGCAAGUUAGAAGUCAAUCCCAUAUGUCCAAUUAUGAUGGAGAAGACAAUUUUAACAACACAAUUUAAAAAACUUAUAAUUGCUUGAUUAUAUUCAUUAUAGUUGUUUAUGAUUCCGAAGAUAAAUAUUGAUUCAUGAUUACUAAAAUAAAUGAACUCACAAAAUUGAAUGACUUGAUUUAAGGAUCAUAGAUGAUUUAGCAUUAUGUCUUCUUCUGACAAUUGCAUCUAUCAAUGGAUUAGAAAAGUUUUUAAAUUUUGGAUUUUUAAGGAUUUCUCAAAACUUAUGCUGUAUGUAAUGUCGCAACUUUGUUCAAUCAAUAAUUAACAAUAAAAGUUUAUUUACUAUGCUUUAACACUUCUGCCACAUUCGUCAGUGUACGAAUUGCAAGAAAGAUUGCUCCUCAGAUCCAUCUGAGUUUGGAGUGUAAUACUGCAAGUGAUACAAGACCUAUAGAAAACUCGAAAAGCUCAAAUUUGAAAAGAAUCCUUAAUUCAUAUUUGGUAAUUAACUAAAAACAGUUACAGUAAUUACCAAGUAGUUAGAAAACUCCAUGCUUUUAUAGCCAGCUAUAGAAAGCUUUUAAAUAAUUAAGAAAUAAAAACCAAUUUUUUUCAUUAAUACCGAACAGUUUAUUAUAGGUUUGAGCUACUAAUAAUGCUCAUGCGCUAUUACAUUACUAUCGAUGAAAUUUCCAAAACAGAGGAAAAGGAAAGAGCAAUCAGACAUGCAAAUUACAUUGGCGGAAAUCUUAUCUUUAAAUUGGAUAUCAUAGGCUUGUAACAAAAUCAGCAUGGAGCUACUAGUAAUGCUCAUAUUCUAUUACAUCACUAUUGAAAGAAAUUUGAAAAACAAGAAAAUGAAAGAGCAAUCAGACGUGCCAAUUGAAUUGGUGGAAACCUUAUCUUUAAAUGUGAUCUCAUAGGCAUGUCAUCUGCUACAAGGGAUUAGUUCCUUCAUUGAAAAGCUUGAUAGAGUUGAGAAUUCAACGAGCAAACCCCAAUUGAAGCUUAAUUUGGGGAAUCCCAACCUGAAAUGGCUACGGUAUCAGUCCUGAUGAAGCGACUGCUGCAGCCUUUUAUGGGCAUAUCAGAAAUUUACAACCCCGCUCUGUCCACCUUUCUUCUUCUUCUUAUCCUCUUGCUCACACUUGUACAGUUGCUGAAAAUCACCAGACGUAGUAGUAACCAUCUCAACUUACCCCCAUCUCCACCAAAGCUCCCCAUUCUCGGCAACCUUCACCAGCUUCUGGGAACUCUCCCUCACGCUCUCUCAAAGCUCUUUCGGAGCGGUACGGCCCUUUGAUGUUCGUUUACUUUGGCAAUUCUCCAACCCUUGUGGUUUCAUCGGCUGAGUUGGCUUGUGAAAUGUUUAAACUUCAUGAUAUUGUGAUCUCGAACCGGCCCAAAACCACACCUGCUAACAUCCUCCUAUAUGAAUGCCAAGGUAUCGGGUUCUCUAAUUACGGCGAGUACUGGAGACAAGUUCGGAAGAUUUGUGUUCUUCAACUCUUGAGUGCGAGAAGAGUGCAAUCAUUUCAGCAUGUUAGAGAUGAUGAAGUUUCAAGUUUGAUCACUAAAAUUCGCCUCUCAUGUUUUAAUAAAGGAGGUCCUCUUAAUUUAUCAGAGAUGCUACUUACUGCUUCCAGCAAUAUAGUUUCCCUCUGCGUUCUUGGGAGGAAAGCUGAUGCAGAAGAAGAAAAUACUGGUCAGAGCAAUAAGUUUGGUGAGUUAUCAAGAAGGCUGGAAGAGCAGCUUGCUGCCUUUUGUGUAGGAGAUACGUUUCCAUCUUUGGGGUGGUUAGACGUUCUCUCGGGACUCAUUGGUCGUCUCAACGCAACUGCUAGAGCAAUAGACGCUUUGCUUGAUCGGGUGAUUGAAGAGCACACGAACAGGGCAUCAUCAGGAAGUGAUGAUGAUGAUGACCAAUCUAAUAAAAAAGACUUCGUGGCUAUACUCCUCCAACUUCGAAAGGAUGGCAUCCUUGGAGCAGAGCUCUCUCAGGACAAUCUUAAAGCACUUACCCUGGUCUAACCUUCCUCUUGACUAGCUAGUAUUAAGUAUUAUAAUUAUUAGCUCUCUCUAUAGAUAUUUUACAUCUUUUACACACUUCACGCACGCAAAAGCGCACCCUUGCAUAUACACAUACGUGCAGAUCAAUACUAAUGGUUUUUCAUGUUUCACAUUCUCAGGACAUGUUUUUAGCAGGAACUGAUACUACUGCAACAACACUAGAGUGGGCAAUGGCCGAGCUAGUGAAAAAUCCAACUAGCAUGAAAAGAGCUCGAGAAGAGGUUAGAAGUGUGGCAAAAGGGAAAUUAAAUAUAGACAUGAAAGACAUUGAGAAGAUGGACUAUUUGAAAUGUGUGGUCAAAGAAACUCUGAGGUUACAUCCACCAGUUCCUCUCUUGAUUCCCCGAGAAAUAGCACAGAGGGUCAAAUGGAGAGGCUAUGAUAUUCCUGCAAAAGCUAGAGUGAUUGUAAAUGCAUGGGCAAUUCAAAUAGAUCCCCAGGUUUGGGACAGGUCAGAAGAUUUCUUGCCAGACAGGUUUUUCUCUAACCCGGUGGAUUGUAAAGGCCAAGACUUCCAAUUUAUCCCCUUUGGUGCUGGAAGAAGAGGAUGUCCCGGGAUAUCAUUUGCGUUCGCCACAAUUGAGUAUGUGAUUGCCAACCUUCUGUACUGGUUUGAUUUGAAUUUGCCUCUUGGUGAAGUUGAGGAGAAUUUGGAUAUGUUUGAAGUUAAUGGGCUAGUGGUUCAUAAGAAAUUACCUCUUCAUCUUGUGCCAACACUCUACUCCCCUUACUCUUAAUCUUGAUAUGUGGAGAAAAAUAUUCAUGAUAGUUAUGUUCUAAUCAUGAUUAUCCUCUUUUAAUUUCCCUCGUGAAAAAUUGUACCAGCGUUGUCUAUUUUCUUCUAUGUUUAUGGCUACCUCAAUGAGCAAGUUAUUAUCAAUUUUAUCACCUGUCUAUAUCAUAUUGGUCCUCUGUUUGAUCUUUCUAUAUAUUCCAUCAAUCGGUUGAGAUUUAGGGAAGUACAAAAAGUUAACAAUUACUAAUGGUGCUAGUAGCCGUGGCUGCAAAAUAUCAUAUCCAUCGAGUUGAUGGGAGAUUAAUUACAACUAAUCGGGAACAAAUAAUUAUGAAGCUGAUAGCAUGAAUAUAUAUAUUAUGAUUGACAUUUUGACUGCAACGGCGAAUAUACAUAAUAAUAGCACCAAUCGUGUCGAUGGGAGAUGUUUUGUUAAAAUUAUUUUUUAAUUCUUAUUUUAUAUUCUUGUGGCUUGAAAGCGACUAUGUCGAUCAUUUAUUUAUUUUCUAGUUCUUAUUUUAUAGACACAUAUUGUUAUUUAAAAAUUCCAUAAUUUCGCUCUGGAAAGGUAAGAGAGCAAAAUUUAGUUUAUAGAGUAACACCCAGGUCUAUAACAAUAAACCCAUAAGAAGGAAGCUAAGCAUGCAAGACCAAACUCAAAUGAGUAGGCCUCAUCUAAGAUCCUUGUAAGUGGGUUAUCUUACAUAGAUGAGUCAUGUUAGGAAAUUAAUUGAUGAAAUAAGACCACAACUAAAAUAAAAUUGAAAAAAAUUAAUUAAAAAAAGAGUUGAAAAGUCAAAUUGGAUCACAUCAUUUGAAUUCAAAUUAGAGGCGGUGGAGAACUUUGACAAGCAAUUGAAAGUGGCCAAAACAUAGCUCUUAUCCUAAUAUUUUGGCUCACUACCCAGAAUGAAUUGGGUAGAUCAGCAGUUCUCAACAUAUCUCUUAUCCUUUCUGUAAGAGUCCUAUUCAUUCACUCUGUCACUCCAUUUUGUUGAGGAGUGUAUGCUACCAUGAACUGCCUCUGAAUACCUUCUUACUUACAAAAAAUAAGAAACUCGUUGUUUAUAUACUCUUCACUGUCUCGUCCUCAAGCACUUGAUUCUUUUUUCAUAUUCAAGUUCAACCCGCGCUUUGUAUUCCUUGAACACUAGAAACACAUUUGACUUUUUCUUGGUUAGAUACACCCAACAUAUCCUGGAAUAAUUAUCAAUGAAAGUCACGAUGUAUUUUGCACCUCCAAUGGAUAUGUCUGGUGAUUCCCAAACAUCAAAGUGAAUUAAGUUUAGAAUGUAUUUACUUCUAGCAACAAAUCUACUGAACUUUAAUCUAUGCUGCUUACUUGUAACAUAAUGCACGUAAAAUUAUAAGUUACCGAUUUGAAUCCUAGAGGCAAUUUUCGCUCAGAGAGAAUCUUCAAACUUUGCUCCGAGAUGUGGCUAAGUUUGAGAUGUCACAUCAUCGUUGACUCUUCUCUGUUUGAUGCAACACACACAUUAGCUUCCUGUAGUGUUUGUCCUUUAAGUAUGAAUAGAUUAGCACUGAUCUUUCUGUCUUCAUCAAUACAAGCGCGCCUUUUAAUAAUUUUCAUAAUUCCAUUUUCAACAUGAGUUUUGCACCCAUGACUAUCUAUUUGUCCCAAAAAUAAUAGAUUUUUCUUCAGGCCUUUCACAUGUCGUACCUCCUCAAUUGUACGAAUUGUACUAUCAAAUAUUUUUAUUUUGAUUGUACCAAUACUAGCGAUCUCCAAGGCAUGAUCAUCAUUCAUAUAUACAAAUCCUCCUGAGAUCCUCAAUUGUGCGAAUUGUACCAUCCAACAUUUUUAUUUUGACUGUACCAAUACUAGCGAUCUCCAAGGCAUGAUCAUCACUCAUAUAUGCAGAUCCUCCUGAGAUACGUUCACGUGUGAAACCAUUCUCUCCAAGAGGUCAUGUGCCAGGUAGCUCCUUAGUCUAUAAGCCAGACGUCAUAUAGUCGUUUUCUGCCUUCUGAAACAGUUGUUGCCUCGUUGUAGAGAAUUUCACCAUCAUCUGACUUGCUACACACCCAUGAGCAUUUGAUGACUCAUGUUUUUUGCUCUCUUUUCUCUUCUGGUUGUUCCAACACUCUUUCUUGACGAUACCAUUGGUAAGAAAUUGAGUUUCAUCCUAAGAUCACUCCAAACAAUUUGUCAAGCAACAAAUUAACAAGAAAACUUAAAUGGAGAAUACACCAAUCACACAACACAAGAUUUACGUGGAAAACUCCAAAUCUGAAAAAAAAAACACAGUCAUUGUCAAGAGACAACCAGAGCAAAAAUAUUUACUAGAUGAAAAAUUAUUACAACCACACUCUCAGAAAUAAUUUUCUCUCACCUAAACCCCAAAUAUAUAAUCUCGAGAAAUAUUCCUUAACAAAGUAAACCCAUAAUACCCAUAUUGACGAGCUAAAUGCUCCUUCAAUCUAACUAUAUGCUUAAGAAUAUUUCUCUCUCUCAAUUUCUCACCAAAACUUAGAUCGCUUCUCUAGGAUUUGGGAUGCCAAGCUCUCAAAUAAGAACUUCAUUUUAUAGACAAAAUUUUUCCUAAAAUCAAGCCAAUUUUUCAACAUUCAAUAGCCACCAUUUCAAUAGUUUUGACCACUUCCAAUUGCUUGCCAAAGUUCUCGGCCACCUCCAAUUUGAAUUCAAAUGAUGUGUUCCAAUUUGACUUUUCAACUCUUUUUUUUUUUAAUCAAUUUUCAAUAAUCUAAGAGUCUUGUAAGAAUAAUCAGAGAGCUUGAGUGAUUUUCAAAGCUUAAAAUUAUAAAGCGCUUGUGAGUCCAGUGAGUGAGAGAUUUGGUGUAUUAGGAUUUUGGGUAGUGAGCCAAAAUAUUACAAUACUUGUAAUCCUCAUAUCUCUAGUAAAAUAAUUUCCUUCUGUCUUCGCCUGUAGGCGUAAGGCUAAAAAUCGAACCACGUAAUUUCCUAGUGUCCUCUUUCUGAUUGUUCUUUAUUUUUCUUCUAAUUUUAUUUUAGUUGUGGUCCUGCUUCACCCAUCAAUUUUCUAACAUUGGUAUCAGAGGUACAGGGUUUUUUUUGGAGCCGAUGGUACUGUUCACGUAAAAAUACUAUUCACAUAUACGGUUACUGUUCACGUGAAACGACGGGAGCCGAUCCUAGCAAAGUUAGUUUGUGGUGAAAAGUGAUGGUAGCGAAAUACGAAAUUAAGAAAUUCAAUAGAAAUAAAUUUUCAUUGUGGAAAAUGAAGAUAAAAGUUGUAUUGCGGAAAAAUAAUUGUUUGGUAACAAUUGGAGAAAGGCCCAUGGAAAUAACUGAUGACAAGUGGAACGAUAUAGAUGGAAAUGUCAUUGUUGAUCUACAGUAGGCACUUGCAGAUGGGAUGUUACCCAGUGUGGAGGAGAAAAAGACAACAAAAGAAAUAUGAGAUACUACACAAAAUUGUACAAGGCCAUGUCUUCUUAAAUAUGAGACUUUAUACUCUUCGAAUGACGAAAUCUACAUCAGUGACCCACCACAUCAACACCUUGAAAACUCUAUUUUCACAACUCAUAAUAUUGGGUCAUAAUAUAGAGGAAAAUGAACGUGCAGAGCUUCUACUUCAAAAUUUACCAGAUUCGUAUGAUCAACUCAUCAUCAACCUGACGAACAACAAUCCAAUAGACAGUCUAGUUUUCGACGAUAUUACAGCUUCCGUAUUAAAUGAAGAGAGCAGUCGCAACAAGUAAAAACACUAUUAGUAAUGAGAGGCAGAUCAACAUAACGUGGCCCCAGUGGGAGUCACAAUCAUGGUAGAUCAAAGUCCAAAAGUAAAAAGAAUAUUAAAUACUAUAAUUAUGGUAAGAAAUGACAUGUCAAGAAAGAGUAUUAGAACAACCAUAAGAGAAGAGAAGGUAAAGAUCAUGUGUCAUCAAAUGCUCAAGGUGUGUAGCAAGUACCUCGGAUGAUGGCAAAAUUCUCUAUAGCGAGGCAACAACUGUUUCAGAAGGUAGAAAAUGGCUAUCUGAUGUUUGGUUCAUAAACUCAAGAGCUAUCUAGCACAUGACCUCUCGGAGAAAAUAAUUGAACCUAUCUAAGGAGAAUCUGUAUAUAUGGGUGAUGAUCAUGCCUUAGAGAUUGCUAGUAUUGGUACAAUCAAAAUAAAAAUAUUUAAUGGUACAUGUCGCACAAUUGAAGAGGUACGACAUGUCAAAGGCUUGAUGAAGAAUCUAUUAUCUUAUAGACAAAUGGAUAGUCAUAAGUACAAAACUCAUGUGGAGAAUAGAAUUAUGAAAAUUGUUAAAGGCGCGCUUGUAUUGAUGAAGACAAAAAAGAUCGGUGCUAUUCAUUCAUGCUUAAAGGACAAACACUAUAGGAAGUUAAUGCGUGUGUUGCAUCAAAUAGAGAAGAGUCAACGAUGAUGUGGCAUCUCAAACUUGGCCACAUCUCGGAGCAAAGUUUGAAGAUUCUCUUUGAGCGAAAAUUGCUUCCAUGGCUCAAAUCGGUAACUUACCAUUUUGCGAGCAUUGUGUUACAAGUAAGCAGCAUAGAUUAAAGUUCAAUAUAUCUAUUGCUAAAAAUAAAUACAUUCUAGACUUAGUUCACUCUGAUGUUUGGGAAUCACCAUACAUAUCCAUGGGAGGUGCAAAAUACAUGGUGACUUUCAUUUAUGAUUAUUCCAGGAGAUGUUGGGUGUAUCCAAUCAAGAAAACGUUAGAUGUGUUUCUAGUAUUCAAGGAAUACAAAGCGCGAGUUGAACUUGAAUAAAAAAAAGAUCAAGUGCUUGAGGACAGAUAACGAUGGAGAGUAUACAGACGGCGAGUUUCUUACUUUCUGUAAGCAAGAAUGUAUUUAGAGGCAGUUCAUGGUAGCAUACACUCCUCAACAAAAUAGAGUGACAGAGUGGAUGAACAGGACUCUUACAGAAAGGAUAAGAGUUAUGUUGAAGAUUGUUGAUCUACCCAAUUCAUUCUGGGUAAAAGCAGCCAAAACUCAUAUUAUGUAAUAAAUCGGUUGCCAUCCAUAACAAUUUCGGUUGAAGACUCUGAUGGAGAUGUGGAUUGAAACGCCAAUAGAAUACUCUCGCCUACAUGCAAUCGAAUUUCCUGUGUAAGUAAUGUACAAUUCCCAAGAAAGAGCAAAGCUGGAUUUAAAAUCUAGAAAAUGUAUUUUUUUUAGAUAUGUUGAUAGAGUAAAAUGAUAUCGUUUGUGGGAUCCCGCUGCCCGCCAGAUUGUCAUCAGCAGAAAUGUUAUCUUUGUAGAAGAUCAACUGCAAAGAAGAGAUGAGGAUGAUAGCACUGUAAAAGAAAAGUAAGAGACUGUAUCAGUAUAUGUGAAAAAUAAUUUGGAAAAAGAAGAUUCAGAUUUUUCUAAAGUAACACCAGAGCACGAGGAACAAGAACCAAUCGAGUCCGAGACUCUAGAAGUUUGUUGAUCAACUCGUGAGAGACGACCGCCAGCGUGGCACUCGGAGUAUGUCACACAAAUCAAAGAGUAUGUCACAGAGAUCAAUGUUGCAUACUGUCUUCUAAUAGAGGAUGGAGAGCCAUUAAUUUUUCAUGGAACUUUAAAUAGCUCAAAUAUUACGUUGUGGAUGAUAGCUAUGAAGGAAGAAAUUGAAACUCUACAUAAGAAUAAGACUUGAAAACUUGUACCACUACCAUAUAGAAGAAAAAUUGUUAGAAACAAAUGGAUUUACAAGAUCAAAUGUGAUAACAAUGAUUAAGUGGAACAAUAUUGUGCAAGAUUGGUGGUGAAAACAUAUGCUAAAAAAAAAAGUAUUGACUUCAAUGAGAUAUUUUCUCUGGUGGUUCGACUCACAACAGUCAGAGUAGUCUUAGUAAUGUGUGCUACAUUUGACCUACAUCUCGAGCAAUUAGAUAUGAAAACUACAUUUCUUUAUAGAGAUUUUGAAGAAGAAAUUUGUAUGCUCCAACCAGAAGGUUUUACUAAAAUAAGAAAGGAGAACUUGGUUUACAGAUUGAACAAAUCUCUAUACAGUCUCAAGCAAGCGUCACGUUGUUGGUAUAAGAGGUAUGAUUCCUUCAUCAUGAGCCUUAGAUACCACAGAUUCAGUUCAGACCAUUGUGCAUAUUAUAAGAGGUUUGAAGAUGAUGAUUUCAUCAUUUUACUAUUGUACAUACUACCAACAAAAAUCGAGUUCAAGAACUAGAGGCACAAGUGGCUAGGGAGUUUGAAAUGAAUGACUUAGGACCAUCAAACAAGAUUUUAAGGAUGUAAAUUCAUCGAAACAGAAAUAAUAGGAAGAUUUGGCUUUCUCAUAAUAACUAUUUCAAGAAAAUCUUACGACGCUUCAAUAUGCAAGAUUGUAAACCAAUUUCUACCUCACUUCCUGUUAAUUUCAAGUUAUCCUCAAAUAUGUAUCCUAGCAAUGAAGUAGAGAAGAAAGAGAUGUCUCGAGUAUCGUAUGCAUUAGCAGUGGGAAGUUUGAUGUUCGCUAUGAUUUGUACAAAACCAGACAUUGCAUAAGCAGUGGAAGCAGUCAGUCGAUACAUGGCGAAUCCUGCUGGAAAACAUUGGAAAACUGUGAAGACGAUUCUGAGAUACAUUAAAGGAACCUCUGAUGGUGCAUUAUGUUAUAAAGGAUCAGAAUUUACUGUUGGGGGCAACGCAGAUUCAGAUUUUACAAGAGGCCUUGAUAAGAGAAAAUUUACUACUGACUAUGUGUUUACACUUGUAGGAAGAGCUAUAAACUGGGUUUCAAAACUACAGACCGUUGUGGCUUUAUUUACAACAAAAGCAUAAUACACACAGCUACCUAAGCUUGGAAGGACUAUUUGGAUACAAAGGUUAUGGGUAGAGCUCGGGCACAAACAAGAGAAAAUUUAUGUGUUUUUGUAAUAGUUAGUGCUUUGCACAUUGCAAGAAAUCCAGUCUUUCAUUCUAGAACAAAUCACAUAGCAGUUUAGUACCACUUCGUUCGAGAAAUAGUGAAGACAGAAGUGUAGAUUUGCAAAAAAUUCAUAUCAAAGUGAGCCUAGCAAAUGUUUUAACAAAGUCGAUCAAUGCUGACAAGUUUAUCUACAGUAAAGUCUCUUGUGACCUAGCAGAGAUGUAAGCAACAUAACUAUAGCAAAGCAGGAAGGAUGGUGUGGAGAUUGAUUGAUUCCCAAUCUAAUCUCCAAGUAGGAGAAUGUCAAAACAUUUGGCUGCAGUAUCUAAAAGUUACAUCUAAAAGCUACAUCUAGAAGCAUUGAAGCAACAAAUGUUGAAGGAUUAGGUUCUGUCAAGGAAGAAAAAAAAGUAAGAGUUGAAGCUGCCAAAUUUGAACAAAGACAAAAAAAGAAAGAAGAAUAGCUGAAAUUUGGUAGCAACAUUUUUUUUUAAGAAAGAAAGAGAAGAGUUAAGAAAAGUCAAAGGUGGUUUUAAAAAAAUAUAAUAUUUUAAUAGCCAAUUUUUGGAUAUAAAAAAAGAGCUCUCCAUUUCGUUUUUUGGCAUUCAAUUUGUGAGAGAGAAAGCAGAGAGUUUGAGUGAUAGUGAGUGAGAGAUUGGGUACAUUGGGGUUUUGGAUAGUGAGACAAAAUAUUACAAUAUUUGUAAUCCUCAUAUCACUAGUAAAAUAUUUUUUUUCUGUCUUUGCCCGUGGAUGUAGGGUUAAAAGUCGAACCACGUAAUUUCUUGGUGUCCUCUUUCUACUUAUGCUUUAUUUUUCUUCUAAUUUUUCUCUUUUCUUCUUCAAAAAAACACUGCUGCCAAAUUCCAUUUUUCCUUCUUCUUUCUUUUUUAUCUUUUUUAUCUUUGUUCAAAUUUGACAACUUCAACUCUUCAUUUUCCUUCUUCCUUGGCGACACCUAACCCUUCAACAUUUGUUACCUCAAUGCUUCUAAAUGUAACUUCUAGAUGCUGCAGCUAAAUAUUUUGAUAAGUCUAAGUACUAGGUAUUUAACCUUUUUUUUUGCCCCCUCAAUUAACUGCUGAUCACUCACCUAAAUUUUUGCUCAGUAAUUUACAAAAGGUAAUGCUUGUCUAGAAAAUAUUUUAAAAUAGAAGUCCUGUGUGUAGAAUAUUUCAAAAUGUUGCAAGUUUCCUAAAACACAAGUACAUCAAUAUAUUAUUCUAUCAUAAGAGUUUUUAUGCACCCAUUAAACCAAUUAACACUAAAAAAUUAAUUGCUUUACAUGUGAGCUAGAUUAAUUUGAACUUCAGAUCUCUUCUUCCAUAAGAGAUUUUAUCCAUUGAAACCACCAAUCCAAACACCCACGCAAAUUAAUUAAAGAUAAAUUGAGAUAGCCCACAGGCUGCAGCAACAAAUUUCCUAGAUGUCUACUGAACAAAUGGAAUUCUACAAAGUGUUAAUUUCUAUUAUAAAAAUGGCAUUAAAUUAAACCAUAUACACCAAUUAUGAUGGAGAAGACAAUUAUAACAACACAAAUUUAAAAAACAUCAAAAAAUAAAUCAAUCUUCCCAAAUAUCAAUCUCAAUGGUCCGAGUACCAAUUUGCCCUCCAAUCACCAUCUCUUUAUCCAAUAAAACUAAAUAAUUAAAAUUUUAUACAGCCAUCAUCAUUUCAACACCAACCUAAACUCAAUCCUCAAACACCUAACUCUAAACUCAGCACAUGAAACAACAAAAUAGAAAUGAACAUGAAAAGAUUGAAUGAACAACAUCAGAGUUUUUUUUCCCCCUUGUUAAACCUAUCCAUAUUUGAUAUUCUUCCCUGUCAAAUUUGGUUUACAUUCAAAGCAACUAAAAAAUUCGUAAACAAACAGGUUAUUAAAAAAAAAAAAAUUGAUUGAAAACUUCAUUCAACUACAAUAGUACAUUAAGCAAAAAGUUCAUAUUUUUUUAUAAUUAAAAUAAAAUCUCAAAAUAUUUAAAUACUAAAAUUUUCAUGCUUUCUACCCAAAUUGUGUUGUUCGCUGCAUUUUCUUCCAUAUGAUGUUUAAAUAUAAAAAUCUUUUUUUUUUUAAUUACCAAGCAAAGAAUCAGAUUGCGUAAUUCACUGUACAUAACCAGUUCUUUCUCUUGCUCUAUUUUUUCGAGCAGUUACAAACAAAAAUUACCAAAAUCCUUCUUCAAUGCCCACCACCUAAAAAACAAAAGGAUGCUUAUGCAUCAUCAAGCUAUAAACUAUAUUUCUAUUUGCAUAUAAAAAACAGUUUCAGAAUAACCCAGCAUUUUCAAUUUAACUGGUGAGCAUGGAAUAUCCUAAGCCAGAUCAAAAUUCAAAACCACCAUGGAAAAUGUGUAUGGAUAAUGUUAAAUACCAUAUUAUUCAUUUUGAAUGACAAACAAAAUACAAACAAAAAUUAUUAAAAUUCCAUCCUUUAUCCUAUAAUUUUUAAUUCUUGUACUUCUUUUUCAGGUAUCAGAUUUCUCGGACACAGAACAUGAACAAGCAAAAACAAAUUUUGUGGUAUUUAAUAAAUGCAACUUCCAAAAUAUACCAUUACCAGACCAAAUUCUUUUUUUUUUGUAUAAAUUUUAAGCUUUUACAGACACAGUAUCAGAAACCAAAAAAUUAUUAAAUUUUGAAGGUAAAAAGGGAGAGACAAUUGAUAAAAGGCAAAAAUUGAAAAUAAAAUAAAAUAAAAGAGUAAAAAAAGUAACUGACUCUAUUCUAGCAAUAGUCAUCUUCUUCUUGUAAUAGUCAGCCAUGAAUAUUUAUUGGACUUAAUAAUUCAAACUAACAAUUCAGAUCUAAACAAAUUCAAUAGUUUAAAUCUCACCUAAUUCAACAAUUCAAUUCAAAUCAAACCCUAACCUAAAUCAGUCUAAAAAUCAAAUCAGACCCUAACACAAAUCAAUUUAAAAAGCAAACCAUACUAACUUGUUGCUUGAUGAUUGUUGAGGUGAAGAGAAGGCACGGUGAUGUUGAGCUUCAGUGGUCAGGUCUCAGGUACACCAUCUUAAAAUACUGACUUAGUAUACCCGAACCCACCUCUAAUUAUUUGGGUAAGUGACAUUUGGAGGAAAAAAAAAAAAUCUUAUUGAUUUCAUUGUUUGUCAACUUUGUGAAAAUGAUAUGAAACCACACCAAAUUUUCAAUUACAAAAGUUAUUUUUUUUCUUUGCUUAAUUUUUUUUAAGGAAAAACAUUGUUUUCAAGUAAGUCGAAUUUAGUAUUAUAAAUUUAUUUUCUAAACAAAUUGAGCUACAAAUGAGAUAGUUUGGCGGUGGAGAUAUUGUAGUUUCAAUAAUAGAAGAACAAAAUGAUUCGUCAGUUGCCUUUUGAUUGAAGUUACUGCUUUUGGCACUCUCAAGAACCAUUUGCAAAGGAUCCUUCUCAUAUGCUGCUUCUUCACUACCUUCAGUCUCAAAUUACGAACCUCCUUUUCUGAUCUCCACAUAUAUCUGUUGCUUUUUGUGGAAAGAUACUUACAACAAGUUAUGGCAUAAAUAAAUUGAUGAUGAGAGUAUUGCAAAAAAUAAAAAAUAAAAAAUAAAAAAAUAAUACUCUGUUUUUCAUCGGAGGAGUUGCCUUGUCCACUAAUAGAAGGCUCACCUCAUGCCUGGAAUCUUUGAUACUAGACUUUUCGUGGACAAAUUCUCUCCAAGAGUUAUUAGUUUCAAGAAAAUAUUUUCUCCUUUAGACAUGAUUGCUUCCAAAACAAGCUCUUGAAAUAAAAUCUCUAGACAAAUUUCUCAUAUACUCAUCCAUUUUUAUGUCAGCUAUUUCAUUUUUUGUCACUACUUUGCUUUUCCAUGACUCGUAUUAACUUAUUCGUCGACUCACUAAUUAAGUUCAUUAUUCCUUAAAAGGAUUUUAUAUAUCAAUUUAUGUUUUUAUUAUUGUACUAAAACAAAUAAAAAUAUUUAUAAAAUUAUUCUUAGGCGUUGACGUACGUCCACACUUUAGAAAGUACAAACGGGAUUAUCUUUUUACCAAAUGCCUUAAUCUUAUUCAAAUUAAUCUAAAAACACUUGUUCUCUUUCACUCUUUCGAAGGAUAAAAUAAUACAUUUUUCCUUUCUCCCCAACUGAUCGAUUUCGUUCAGGUCACCAAUUUUCUGUCCAUCCCUAACGUUAAUGUGUUAGCUUUUGCAUUUUGUAAGUUACCAACCCAGCUGUUCCAAAUUUAAGCAAAAAAUAAUUACUUUUUUUUCAUAAUUAAAGUGAUUUUAUUUUUCUCCAUUAUUAUAUAUGGUCACCAAGUACACCAAGUUUUGAUGCAAAAAGAUUUUGUAAAAUGUUUUGGGAAAUUGGAGUACUUAGCUUGCAAAUUUCAAGGUUAUGCCAUGCAAGUCCAAAAGCAAACGAGAGUAUGGUUUGUGAGGAAACUAUUGGGCCGGGCCCUUGAACGAAUUAGAGGGACUUGUGCAGCCUAUUUGUUUUAACGAAAUCAAUAAAACUUAUUUUUGUAAUUUAUAGAUCAUAGUAUGAAAACCUCUCUUAACAUGGAAAUUCUAAUUUUUAGGAGCCCCAUCGUGUUUAGUAAAACAUCAAGUACAUCCAUUUAGAUUACAUUGAAGUUGAACUUUUUUUAGAAAAAAAUUCUACUUUAAAAAAAAAAGGAAAAAUAUCCACCGUCCACCUAUUUUUUUCAACUUUUUUAAAAAUACACAAUUCUUUUUUUUUUUUGCUGGAGUCCACUUAAAGUUAUAUUUUGUUUCACUUUUCCACUUUCGUUUGGAAUCCGUUAAGGAAACUAAAGGAAACUUAAAAAAAUGACCAUUUUACCCCCAAACAAAAAUUAUAAUUUCACUAUAAAAAAUGCAAAAAAUAAUCAGAUUUAAUAAUGAAUAUCAUUAUUGGUACGUUAAUGAAGUACAAAAAAAUCUUAACUACUAGAGAUUAUAAUUCAAUGAAUAAUAAAAUUCUACUUAUCUUAAAUUCAAUUGAUGGUUUGCGAGAUUGGGCUAUUUUUAAUACUACUGUUAUAAUUUAUCAUUCUAAUUACAUACAUAUUUAAAAAAAAAAAAACCAUGCAUUUGAUGGUUGUGGAAUUAAUUUCUUUUAUUAACAGAUGGGAAAAAUAAUUAGAUUUAAUCUGAUUAUUUUUGGUAAUUUUUAGGGUGAAAUUGAAAUUUUCUUUUAGGGGGGUAAAAUGGUCAUUUUUUUAGGUUUCCGUUAGUUUUCUUAACGGAUUCCAAACGGAAGUGGAAAAGUGAAACAAAAUGUAGGUGGAUUCCAGCAAAAAAAAAAUUGUGUAUUUUUGAAAAAGUUAGAAAAAACAGGUGGACGGUAGAUAUUUUCCCCAAAAAAAAAAUAGAGGGAUAAAUAAAGUUUGAUUCUUUUUUUUUUAAUUUUCUAUUAAGAUUCAAACUUAUGUGACUAGCCAAAUAAAACUACUUCAAAAUUAGUUGUAGGUCAGUUGCAUUCAAUUUAGCAUCGACCACCUACUUGUUCCGCAGCUCCUUAAUUUCUUUUGUCUUUUUACUCAAAUUAUCACGUAAAAUUCCAUUAUUGAUUACAUGUAAAAAAGUAGAUCUAAAAUUAAUUAUCGAGUACAUGCAAUGCGAUAUAGAUUUAGAAUUAAAAUGUACCAUUUAGUGGGAAAGCCAACUUAAGUCUAUCCUCUUUUCAAAAAUGCUUUUAAUUUCCUACCUUAAGUUUGUAAUUAGUACCCAUCCAUCCAAAUGUUAAUAUGGUUAGAAUAUUUAAAAGAAUCCACUAAAAUAGCCAUUUUACCCUUCAAUUUAAGAGCAAUUAUGUCAUCUAUUUCAAGUUUAUUCUCUUGUAAAAAGAUAUUAUAGAAGUUUGAAUUUAUUCAAUUUUUCAGCCUAAAUUUGUAAUUGGUGUCACAUAUCCACUAAAACGUUAACACUUUUAGAAUGCUUAACAUAAUAUAAGUAUAACAACCAUUUUACCCUUGAAUUCAAGGACCUUUUUUUUUUUUUUUUUAACUUUGCACCAUAAAUUAAUAAAAUAAAUUUUGAAAAAAUAUAAUUAAAAUAUGAAAUCUCUUUCUUUCAAAACAAAAUCGCCCAACAAUUUUUAUCUCAUCAAAUCCUUCUCAAGCACAUAAAACCAAAAGCAAAACAAAAUACAUUUCACUUUCUUCUUUCUUAUCUUCUCUCUAUAUAAAUUUUUAUGGUUCACAAAAUCAAUAGUGAUAUGUAUCAAAUCCUUUAUAACCAAUAUCCUUCAUCGCUAAAUCCUUCAACCAUCUAUGAUAAUUGACAAAAACAUGCAUUGGGCUAUAAAGAUCUGCAAUUGAGGAAUCUUGUGGUAGUUGUAGUUAUCCAUGAGGCUAAGUAAAGCAGUAGCGACAGUCAUGGUCAACGACAAUGGUGGCCAUGAAACAGCAAGUUGGAUUUGAUUGGGUGUUUACGAAAUCAAAUUUAAGAAUUGGAGUGAUUUGGUGUCCAUAAAUUAUGGUUUAGGGUAAUUUGUGGAUUGAGUUUGAUUAUAAAAAUUUGUGAAGGUUAAUUAAGAAAAUAAUUAGAUACUUUUAAGCAAGGAAGAAAUUAGAGUGUUUAUUAUAUUUAACUGAAUAUUAGUUAUAAAAACUAUUUUUUUCCUUUUUUCUAUCAUAUUAAACAUCUAGAUUACCCUUAUGACGCCAUUAAAUAUAAAUGGCAGUUAAUAUUUUAGUGGACGGUUGAUACAAAUUGCAAACUUAGGGUGAAAAAUUAAAUAAAUUCAAACUUUCAUAGUAUUUUUUAUGACUGAAUAAACUUUAAGGUGGAUAACUGAUAAUAUCUCAAUAUUUAACAUCUUAAUUGUCUAAAUCACCUUUGUCACGUCAUUCAUUAUGAACAACAGUUAAAGUUUUGGUAGACAGUUGGCACAAAUUGCAAAUCAACUUUGCUGAAAAAUACUACAAAUUCAAACUUUUGUAGUAUCGGGUAAUUGUGUAACAAGGGAUUAGGCUAGUUUUACAAUUCACAUGUAUAAAUAAUUAAGAUGUCAUGUUGCAUGAAUGAUAUAUAGUUUACCAAAUUCUUUGUGCAUUGUUUUUUUUUUAUGUUUACUACACACUAAGCGCUUGUUUAUGUAUCAAUGUCAGUAUCUAAGCAUUCAAAAAUUUGACUUCACCCUUAUCUUUCUCAAAUUCUACGAAGAAAUUUCCAUCAAGACAUAGUGAAGUCAAAUUUUCAUCGACAUACAUCCACAAAAUAUGGACUUUACACAGAUUGAGCCUAAUGGUACUGGAAAAUUAUGAAAAAGAAAAAACAGAAAAUAUCAGAAUGGUUGAUUCAUAGGACUAUAAUAACAAUUUAAAAUUUUGUGCUUCAACUCCAUUCCUUUAACAAUAUAUAUUUUGGAAACAAUUUAAUUAACUCAAAAUCUAACAACAUGUCGCAAUAUAAUAGAACUUGAUAUAUAAUUCACACUACCAAAAUACAAAUAUUAUUGUAUUUUAGCUCACUACCCAAAAUCUCAAUACACCCAAACCACUUCCUGUUAAUUUCAAAUUAUCCUUAAGUAUGUGUCCUAGCAACGAAGUAGAGAGGAAGGAAAUGUCUCGAGUACCAUAUGCAUCAACAAUGGGAAGUUUGAUGUUCACUAUGAUAUGUACUAGACCAGACAUUGUACAAGCAGUGAGAGCAGUUAGUCGAUACAUGAUGAAUCCUGGUGGAGAGCAUUAGAUAACUGUAAAGAAGAUUCUGAGAUAUAUUAGAGGAACCUCAGAUGUUGCAUUAUGUUAUGGAGGAUCAGAGUUUACUGUCAGGGGCUAUGUGGAUUCAAAUUUUGCAGGAGACCUUGAUAAAAGAAAAUCUACUAUUGAUUAUGUAUUUACACUUGCAGGAGGAGUUGUAAGUUGGGUUUCAAAACUGUAGACUGUUGUGACCUUAUCUACAAUAGAAGCAAAAUACAUGGCAUCUACACAAGCUUGCAAGGAAACUAUUUGGAUACAAAGGUUCUUGGAGGAGUUUGGGCACAAACAACAAAAAAUUUAUGUGUUUUGUGACAGUCAGAGUGCCUUGCAUAUUGUAAGGAAUGCACACUAGGAAAGUUUUCAAGAAAGACUGGAGAGGUCACAAUGGUCCCACUUAAAACCUAGACUCCUUAGUCUCUUAUCGCCUUUUGUGACAAAACUUUUCUAAACAUGUAAAAAACCACACAAUUACUCCACUCACACCACUAUUCCCUGCUUUGCACCACAAAAUUCUUGGAUUGCUCCCAUCGUUUCUCGUGAACAGUACUGUAUAUAUAAACAGUACCGUAUAUGUCAACAGUACUCCCGACUCCAAAAAUACAACCAAUAUCUCUGAUACCACUGAUGGAAAAUUGAUGGGUGAAGCAGACACGCAACUAAAGUGAAAAUUGAGAUAUAUUGAGACACAAAAUCACACAGGGAUACCAGAAAUUAUGUGGUUCUACUUUUAGCUUACGUCCACGGGCAAAGACAGAAAGAAAAUAUAUACUAGUGAAAAAGGAGUUACAAGUAUUGUAGUAUUUUAACUCACUACUCAAAACUUCAAUACAUCCAAACUCUCAAAUCACUACUCUCUUAAAUGAAGAAGAAAAAACUAAAGAAAAUUAUAUGAUUCAAAUGAGGGGGAGAACCCUUUAUUUAUAGCCAUCAAAUGGAUACUAUUCAUCUUUUUAUUUUAAUAAUAUUAUUAUUUUAUUAUUUUAUUUCUUUACCCUGAGCGGUGCGGCAUCUCUUUCUUCUUCCUUUUCUUUUUCCCUUUUUUGCUUUGGCUCAGUGCCCCACCGCUCACCUUUUUGACAUUUUCAAAGAAAAUGUAAUAAUAAAUAAAUAAGUGAUUGUUUGGGGGAUAUACUGCAAUCCUAAAUUUGAACUACAGUAUUGGGCAUAGUUUAAACAGCCUUGAAUGCACUUUAAGUUUCUUGUCACCUUUUUAUUUUUUAAACUAUUACUCAAGAGUACAACUCAUAUUACAUAAGAUUACAACUGAUAAUUACAAAUCAAACUAUUACUGGAAUUAGUUUACAUCAAUUCUUAUGAAACUCGCCUAGAUUUUACUCUCUUUAAUAUUCGAGAGAUGUCUCCUCCCCUCAUAUUUUAAAAGGGAGAAAAUUAUCUUCACUUAAAGUAAGAAAGGAAAUUAAACCCCCACAAUGUAUUGUGGGGGUUUGGUGCUUGUGAGCAAGGUCUCUAAGACUAACUCCAUAUUCAAACUUUUAAAAAUAAUUAAAAUAAUAAAGCAAUGAUAAAUAAUUAGAAUUGAUUUUAACCGUUGAAACAAAAUUCAAUGAAUGAGUAGAUAAAUUGAAUAUGGGAUGAAAUAUUACUUCAAUUUAAUAAUGAAACAAAAGAUAUGCAAAUUAGGAAUUAUUUUUUCGCAGCGUGAAUAUAGCAUGAAUGGACCCAAAUUAAAAAUGAUGAGUUGAAUUACCACUUUCAAUUUUCUUUCCAGUUAACGCGUUCGGCAUUUACUAACCGCAUUCGGCAUAUACAUGUAUUUACUAACCAAUAAUUAGAAUAAGAAAUAAAAAUUAUAAUAAAUUAUUUAUUUUAGUUGUAGGAAUCAAAUCAUAACAAACUAUAUUGUCACUCAUCUCUCUAUUUUAUCUUAAAAUCAUAAUGAAUUGUUUUAAAUUAUAAAAAUACCCUUAGUUUAUUUUUAAUAUUAUUUUAUUAUUUAUUAUAUAAUUAUGAUUAUUAUUAUUAAGAAAAUUAUCAUUAUGAGAUUAUGAUUAUUAUUGUUAAUAAUAAUAAUAAUAAGCAUUAUUAUUAUUUUUCUCUUUGAUUUUAUUAUUAUUCUCUCUUCUGUUUCAUCUUUUUCGUCCUCUCAUCAAUUUCGUUUCUUCUUCUUCAUCAACAUCUUAAUUCAAUUUCAUCUUCGUCAUAAUUACAUCAUUAAUAAUAAGGACUCAACUACCUUGCAACAGUUGCAAGGUACCAUCUGAUUUUGUUUUCUUGUGUUUUCAAUUCUUGACUAUUGGAUUUAAUGAAAAGAUAGAUUUAAGGGUAGAGAUUCGUUUAUUUGAAUAUUAGCAUUAUACUCCCUGAUAUUUAUCAAAACGUAAAAAGGCUAAAGAAUUAAAACUUUUAGCACAUAAGUCCAAAUUGUUUAAAAUUUUAUGUUGUUUAAUCAGCAUAGUGAGUCAACAUGUUGCCAAAGUAACCUCUCUUGUGAAAAUUAAUUUAUUUGGAAUAGACAAGAUUCUAUAUAUGUAAUUUCUAUAAAUAUCAAUCGGCCCAAAGGAAGAUCCAUAUUUAAUAGAAUUACAUGUGCAUUUGUGGUAAUAAACACGUGAUGAUUAUUCGGUUUUACAUGUGAAUAAUAAAUCGGCCCAAAGGAAGAUUUAUUGUUUGACAUGUUCUUAUUAUUAGUGUUUGAUUACUACACCAAGAUAUCACUUAGAAGUUAAUAUUUUGUUCAAUGAUGAAAUACUAAUAGAGUGUCUGGUAUCUUGAGAUGGGGUUUACCUUUAUUUGAACUUAAUUUUGUUUUAAGACUAAUAUGAGCUUGUGUUUGUUUAUUUGUUGUUUUCUGAUUCAGUUAUGUCUGCUGUUAAUAUUACGGCCAACAUCAAUUCUAUUCUUAUGCUAAAUGACUCUAACUUCAAAUCAUGGCAAGAGAACAUCUUAAUAGUUCUCCCAGUCAUAGAUCUUAACCUUGUGUUAAGGGUUGAUAUUCCCCCACCUCUUACGGAGGUACCCUUGAUGAUAAGAAGGAUAUAGAAAGGUAUGAGAGAUCAAAUAGCAUGUGUAUCAUUAUUAUGAAGAAGGUCAUUCCAGAAGCAUUUAGAGAUUUAAAGUGUGAAAAUGUAGCUAUGGCUAAAGAGUUCCUUACAUAGAUUGAACAAAGGUUUGUCAAGAACGAAAAGGCUGAAAUUGGUACGCUCUUGACAAGUCCAAUUUCAAUAAGGUAUAAGGACAAGGAUAAGGGUAGAAAAGAAACAAGAAUAAGAAAGUUGCAGAUACAACACCUCAAAAGAAACAACAAAAGAAAUCGGAUGAUCUAGAAGCCACCAGUUGUCUCUUUUGCGAAGCUGAAAGGAAUGUUUUGGUUUGUUAUGAGGUUAAUUUAACUGCGGUACCUAGACACACGUAGUGGAUAGAUUCUGGUGCAAUCGCUCACAUUAAUGUGUCUAUGCAGGAUUGCAUGAAUUGCGGAAAGCCCAAUGAUGGUGAAAGAUACAUCUAUGUGGGUGAUGCAAGACGGUUGAAGUUGAAGCAAUUAGAAAAUUUAUAUUAUUAUUAAAGACCAAAUUUUAUUUGGAUCUUGAUGAAACAUUUGUUGUUCUGUCUUUUAGACGAAACUUGAUGUCUAUUUCCGCUUUGGACAAAAAUAGUUAUUCAUGUUCAUUUGGAAAUGGAAAAUUUAGUUUGUCUCAUGAUUCAAAACCGGUUGGUUCCGGUUCUUUGUCAAGUGAUCAUAAUCUUUAUAUGCUUGAUACAAUUGUUUCAUUUAAUGAAUCCCUACAAUUAAGUACACGAUGUUUAAACAGAAAAUUAACCAAUGAGAAUUAUGUUGCGUUAUGGAAUAAGAGAUAUGCAACAACACUAGAGUGGACGAUGGCAGAGCUAGUGAAAAAUCCAACUAGCAUGAAAAGAAUUAGAGAAGAGGUUACAAGUGUGGCCAAAAGGAAGUUUGUUGAUACUAAAAUUUGGAUUAACUAUGUGCUUACGAACGCAGAGACCGGUCUUAAAGUUCUCUAUGAGUUAAUGGGAGUUGACUCUUGAAUUGGAAUACUUAAUUUGUAAAACAAGAAAAUCGUAAGGGCACAGCACGAAAAACGCUCUUGAUACUUAAGUCAAAAAGAGAUGAGAGCUUCUAGGUUUUUUUUUUUGUAAUACUUAUCUCCAAAUAUAAUAACUUACCUUGUAACAAGGAUUUUUUUUUUUUUUGGGUCUCACCUACUUUCCCAUGCCUUACUUCCUCUUAAAUUCUAGUCUCAUGCCUUCGCCCCACCAUUUACUUAGUUAACCGUAUGCCUACUCCCACACUAGCUUUGUCCUCUUCUUAUGAAAAUUUUUUUGGCUCUUCACCAAAUUACUCAAAACUUAAAGAGUAUUUGGUUGUUUAUGUUACCCUUGGCUUAGACUAUAUUCCUCUUACAAGCUUGACAUUCAUUUCAAACCUGUGUGUUUCUCGGGUACUUUCUCACUCAAAGUGCUUAUUUAUAUUUUGACCCUUCCAUGUCAAAAAUUUUUGUGUCCCGUCAUGUCAAUUUUGUCGAGUCAAUGUUUUCUUUUGCUCCUAUUUCCAAUAAAUCCUCAUGUCCACAAGCUAACAUAAUUGAUACAUGGAUCCCUCCAAUUAUUACUGUCCCCAGUCAAGUAUUGCCACUCUCCCCCCAUCCGAUAAGCCAACGUCCCAGCUGCCCUUGUGUGAUGAUCCUCCAACUAUCAUCAUCUCCACUGAAUCUACACAUACACCUGUAUCUCAACAGCCAUCGUCAUCAACUCUCUCACUUCGACUGACUCUGCUAUUGAAAAGUCAAAAUCGGUGAUUUGCUUAUUCAAAUUGGUUGAAAAAGGAAAGGUAAGCCACAUGCAUAAUUGACUAUUUGGAGGAAGUUGGCACCGCAUGCAUGCAUUUGUCAAUUUUGAAAAAUUUAAUUGCAGAUUUAAUUGACAAUUUGACAAAGGGUUUGGUACAACAAUGCAACCAUUUUGGCUAUAAAUAAAGAUGCAUUCUUCACUUGGAAAUCAUCCAAAAAACUUGAGAGCAUCCCAAAAUUGAGAGCAACAAUUCAAGUAAAGAAUUGAGAGAGUGAGCAAUUGGAGAAUGUUUGUGAUUGAGAGGUUUUUCCUUUCAAGUAUAUGAGAGUAUUGUGUGUAUUUGAGUUUUGGGAAGUGAGAUUUCUUUACUCAAAUUUUGUACUCCAAUAAUUGUUAGUUAUACAAUUAUUUUCUCUUGCUCCCCUGGAUGUAUGCAUAUUGCCGAACCACGUUAAAUUUUGUGUUAUUUAUUUUUCUGCGAUCAUUUGGUGCGCUUGAUUUCACAUUCUAAGCACAACAUCUGCACAUUUGAUUUUACCUCUACAGAGACCUAUAUCUCAACCCCGCCAAACUUCUAUAGAAAUAACUCCCGUCCCUUCUUCGAAUCCCACCUUACUGGUAAGAGCAAUAAAUUUGGUGAGUUAUCAAGAACGCUGGAAGAGCAGCUUGCUACCUUUUUUAUAAGAGAUGUGUUUCCAUCUUUGGGAUGGUUAGAAAUUUUAUCGUGACACAUUGGUCGUCUUAACACAACUGCUAGAGCUUUAGACGCUUUGCUUGAUUAGGUGAUUGAAAAGCAUAUUAAUAAGGCAUCAUCAGAAAGCGAUGGUGAUGAUGACCAAUAUGAUAAAAAGAACUUUGUGGAUAUACUCCUCCAACUUCAAAAGGAUAGCAUCCUUGCGGCAGAGCUCUCUCAGGACAUUCUUAAAGCAAUUAUCCUGGUCAGUCCCUUCCUGUUUAACUAGCUAGUCUUAAUUAUUAGCUCUCUCUAUAUCUUUUACAUCUGUACACAUCAUGCACGCAAAGGUGAACACUUGCAUAUACAUAUACAUACACAUCAUGACUAAAGUUUUUCCAUGUUUCACAUUCUCAGUACAUGUUUGUUGUAGGAACUAAUAGUACUGCGACGACACUAGAGUGGGCAAUGGCAGGGCUAGUAAUCCAACUAGUAUUAAGAGAGCUCGGGAAGAGGUUAGAAGUGUGGUUAAAGGGAAGUUAAAUAUAGAAAUGAAGGACAUUGAGAAGAUGGACUACUUGAAAUGUGUCGUUAAAGAAACUCCGAGGUUACAUCCACCAGUUCCUCUCCUGGUUCCGCGAGAAAUAGCACAGAGGGUCAAAUGGAGAGGUUAUGAUAUUUGAUAACUCUAGGAAAUGAGAGUUAUUACAUCCUUUCUAGACUUAAAUCAAGAUCAUUUAGAGAUCAAAUAAGGUGUUUUUAUUACAUUUUGCAUAAACAUUCAUUUGGGUUGAGUUUUAAUAAAUUUUGCUUGAAUCAAAGUAAUUUGUGCCAAAAACAGGUGUAUAAUUGUAGGUUUUUAGAAAGUCUUAAUUCAUGAGGGGAUGUUGAGACAUUAGAUGAGCAAGAAGAGGAAAGAAGAUGACCACAAAAGAAGUAAAGCACAAUCGGGAAUAGUGCAGUGUGGUUGCGGAUGUUAGAGCAACCAGUGUUGUAACAAUUUGGGAGCAAUGUGGGAGAAAACUUAGGCGCGGGUCAGCCACAAAAUCGCAAUCUGCAUGUUUCCUAAUUUAACGCACGCACGCUCAUGGGCUUUUGUUUACCCUAAUUUGCAAUAUAAAAGGGAGGCGUGCACGACAUAGAAGGCGGCAAGGGAAUUAUCAUUAGAUUAAUUUCAAAGGAAAGAAGAAGAAUAUCAGAAUUGGAGAGUGUUGUUUCGGCAACAUUGAAGAAUCGUGUAGAAUUAUUUGGAUUUGUUUUUCACCGUGCUCAACUUAUAUUUAUAUUCUUCCUUUAACUGUUUGAUGUGUCCCUUGAACAAUAUAUUUAUAUUUAUUUUUCUCAUUCAGAAUAUGAACUAAAUUUACUCGUAGUUGAGUGACAAAUAAUCCAUUGGGUUCUUGACUGUUCUUAUAUGUCGUUAUGUCAUUGCUGUAGCAUUUUACUCUAGUAGUUUUUAUGAAUAUAACUGUUAUUUCGGUUGACCACCCAUUUGAUAGUUUCAGUUAAGAUAGAGCAGCACAAGGGCAUAUCUUAGUGGAUAUUAUUAGAGUAUUACUUGAUCUUAAGUUGAGUUUCCUGGAUUAAGUUAUCUUGAAUCCCAUAAGGGCAAUACUUGAUGUUGAGAUUUGUGACACACUAGACAUAGGUGUUCACCUUGUAGGGUGGAGAGACUAAAGAUCAUAAUGCCAUGCUAUAAGUAGAUUAGCAACUGGUCAAUGUUAGUAGAUUUAAGGGUAUGAGACUUCCAAUAUGCGAUAGCUGAGGAUGCAGAUUUAUUCUGCCCAGUGCUGCAACACUUGCCGUAACAACUGGUGCUAAUUUGAUAAAAAAAAAAAGUCACCCCCAUAAGGAGGGUUUGAUCAUUCAACUACCAUAAUCUCAAUUGAAUCUUAGACACAUUUUACAUAGUUUAUUUCAUUACAGUAUUGUUUUAUUUAAUUCUCUCACAACCAUUAAUUACGAUAGAAAUUACUUUACAAUUGUUAGCUUCGGCCUUAAGUUGAUUUGCACUAUUGUGAUUGCUAUAGCAUUUCGAGUAACAUCAAUCCCUGUGGAGACGAUCUUGAUUACUUAUCACUUUAUUACUUGUUGUGUAGACUUGCACAUUGGCAUUGGUAGCAAUUGCUUAUAAAAUUAACCAACAAUAUUCCUACAAAAACUAGAGUGAUUGUAAAUGCAUGGGCAAUUCAAAUAGAUCCCCAAGUUUGGGACAAGCCAGAAGAUUUCUUGCCAGACAGGUUUUUCACUAACCCGGUGGAUUGUAAAGGCCAAGACUUCCAAUUUAUCCCUUUUGGUGCUGGAAGAAGAGGAUGUCCAGGGAUGUCAUUUGCGUUAGUUACAGUUGAGUAUGUGAUGGCCAACCUUUUGUACUGGUUUGAUUGGGAUUUGCCUCUUGGUGAAGUUGAGGAGAAUUUGGACAUGUCUGAAGUUAAUGGGCUAGUGGUUCAUAAGAAAUUACCUCUUCAUCUUGUGCCAACACUCUACUCCCCUUACUCUUAAUCUUGAUAUGUCUAGAAAAAUAUCCAUUGUACUUAUGUUCUAAUCAUGAUUAUCCUCUUUUAAUUUCCCUCUUGUGAAAAAUUGUCCCCAGCGUUGUCAAUUUUCUUCCAUGUUCGUGGAUUCCUUGAGGAGCAUGGUUUUAUCUAUUUUGUCCCCUGUCCGUAGUAUAUGGGUUCUCUGAUGGAUCUUUUUCUAUAAAUUCUGUCAAUCGAUUAAGUUUAUAGAAAUACAAAAAGUUAACAAUUACCAACGAUGCUCGUAGUCAUGGUUGCAAAAUGUUACGUCCAUCGAAUUGAUGGGAGAUUAAAUACAAUUAAUCAAGAAUUAAUAAUCAUGAAGCUGAUAUUAUGAAAAAUAAAUUUACAUUAUUGACAUAUUGACAGCACGGAAAAUAUGUACAAUCACAACAGCAAUCGUGUUGAUGGGAUAUUAUUUGUCAAAAUUAUUUUUAAUUCUUAUUUUUUAUUCCUGCGGCUUGAAAUCGACUCUAUGUUGAUCACUCAUUUAUUUUCUAAUUCGUAUUUUAUAGUUAUAGAUUUUUAAUUAGAACUACGACCAUUUCGCAUUGGAAAGUAAAGAAAGCAAAAGUUAGUUUACAAAGUAAGGUGGGUUUAUAAUAAUAAACCCAUGAGGAGGAAGCUCAAGCACGCGAGACCAAACACAAUUGAGUAGCCUCAUCUAAGAAUCUUGUAAUUUGAUUGUCGUACAUUGAGGAGUUCAAAUACCAGGUAUUUAACUUUUUUUUUAAUUAACCACUGAUCACUCACCUGAAUUUUUACUCAGUAAUUUGCAUAGCUCACAGUAAGGUAAUGCUUGUUUAUAAAAUAUAUUAAAAUAGAAGUCCUGUGCAUAGAAUAUUUCAAAAUGCUGCAAGUUUCAUAAAACACAUGUAGAUCAACAUAUUAUUCUAUUAUAAGAGAUUUUAUGUAACCAUUGAACUAAUUAACAUUCACAAAUUAAUUUCUUUACAUGUGAGCUAGAUUAAUUUGAACUACAGACCUCUUCUUCCAUAAGAUAUUUUAUGCAUUCAGCUAACAGUCAAACACCCACAAAAAUUAAUUGAGGAUGAAAUGAGAUGUUGAUGCUGAAAUCUGGUCGUCAUUUGCCCGACCUGAUCGUUCCACCAACAUUUGUGUUGUCCACGAAGGGAAGGUUGUACUCUCCUUGCUCUAGCAAUUGUCUGUGUUCCUGGGACCCAAAUCACCAUUUCUCUCCUUUCCAAGCUUGCGUUCACAUAAACAAGUCAGAGACGCUAGUGGUUUUGUCGGCGUAAACCCUCCGAUGCUUAAGUUAGAACAAGGUGUUUACGGGUAAAUUGUAUGAUUUAUAACGAGUAAACUAAAUACAAUAUUCUCGGCACAAUCUGUAUCAAAGAUAUGUGUAAAAUGAGUUAUGAUUUCAAUUUGGCAGAGUUUUCUCUUCUCUCUCAAUUUUUUCAUCCUUUCUUCAUUGGUCUCUUGGCUUCUUAUAGCCAUCAUCCCACGUUUUCUGAGUAUUCCUCAUGCCCCCCAUUUCCGGGUGAUAACAGACCCUCAUGGGUCUCCAACCACCGAAUCGUGGGUAAACGUAGGAUGUCACGUUCUCCCUGGCGGUUCAGGGCAUGGCGAAACUGUCACGAUUUCGUGAGAUCGUGUCCUCUUUCUUUGGGUGAUGAGCAUCUGGUCGGUACGUAUCUCUGGUCGGUGCUCGUUUUUAGUUGGCACAUGCCCGUACACGAUAUUUUACCAGGACUCUGCUCGUGCCAUUCAGCUAGGGAGAUUCGCCUCAGGGUGAGGCAUGAGGGCAUAGCUGAGCUGGUACUUUUCAUUACUCACAUAGCUGAGCUGGUCCUUUUCAUUACUCAACAUGAGAUAGCCUAUAAGCUACGGCAACAAAUUGCCUAGAUAUUUACUGACCAAAUCGAAUUCUACGAGUACUAAUUUCUAUUAUCCUGAUGGCAUUAAAUUAAACCAUAUACACCAAAUUACAUAACAAAAAUAAAUCAUCUCCUACCUAAAUUGUUUCCCAAAUGUCACUCUUUGCCUUAUAUAUUGAAAUUAAUUUCUCAAGAAACACCUCACAAAUUUUUUACUUGCAGAUUGAUUCCAUCUUCCAUAAUGAAGCUACAAAAGUUGAAUAUUUUAUAGUGGCCCACAUGCCAUAUUAUUAAAUUAGUAAUAAUUUAGAAUUUAAAUUAUAAAAUAAAUUAUGGGAUAAAAUCUUAUUGGUUAAUUUGGAAAAAAAAACCAACUGUCCACUUUGAUAGAAAGUGGGAAUUAGAAUUUUAUUAAAAUUGGUCUUGUCUCCACCCAAUAUAAAAAGGGUAUUACGUUAAUUUUUUCUCCAUCAGAAAGUGAGUUACUCUAAAGGGAUUAAGAGAGAGAAAUCAAUUUUGUUCAUCUUUAAUUUUUUACAGUGGGAUUUGAUCAAGAAAAUUUGCUAUGGAUCAAGGUAUAUCUUCUCUCAAUUAUUGAUGAUGUGAAAAUCAUAUUAUUCUAUGAUCUUAAGGAUUAAAGUUUAUACAAAUUAGGGUAUAUUUACUUUAUGGGAAUUGUCAAAAAUUCGAACAAUAAAUAGGUGAACGAACAUACUCAGAAGAAAGUAAAAAAUUAAAGAAAUUAGUCAGCAUGAGAGCAAGUAGUAUCUUAAGCUCAACAAUGGCCAAAUUUUGUAUUAGACACACUCGACGACCAAAUCCAACUGGGAUGUCUUAGAAUUUAAUUCUAAGUGCUAUGGUUGCCCGUGUAGGUGGAGUAUGGUGGAUCUCUAUGUUGAGAAUCAUGGCUGCUGUAAAGGAUAAGGUGAACUAGGCUUAUAGUCAAGGUAGAGUUACUACCAUUCAAGUAGGUGGAGAUUUUUUGAAAGUGGAGAUUUUUUGAAUGAAUUGCAGCAAAAGUUGAAAAACAGUUGAAAAAAAGAACUAACAAAUUUACACGCAUUUUACUUGAAGUUUUAAUUUCUUUGGAAGUUUGCAUGAGCGUCAAAUAAUGGCAUAUGAAUGAAUGCAUGAAAGUCAAGAAAUCUUUUAUGUGCAUGGACUUUCAUCGAUUUCGUAUGAUACUUAAAUUGCGGAAGUGGGCACGUUGACGUCAGUCUAAUCAAUCCAUGUCAUCCGCUACGAGGGAUUAAUUCCGUAAUUAAAAAGCUUGAUAGAGUUGAGAAUUCAACGUGCAAACCCCAAUUGAAGCUUAAUUUGGGGAAUCCCAACCUGAAAUGGCUCUGGUCUCAGUCCCGAUGAAGCAACUGCUGCAGCCUUUUAUGGGCAUAUCAGAAAUUUACAACCUUUCCCUGUCCAUCUUUCUUCUUCUUCUUAUCCCCUUGCUCACACUUGUGCAGUUGCUGAAAAUCACCAGACGUAGUAGUAACCAUCUCAACUUACCUCCAUCCCCACCAAAGCUUCCCAUUCUCGGCAACCUUCACCAGCUUCUGGGAACCCUCCCUCAUCGUUCUCUCAAAGCUCUUUCCGAGCGGUACGGCCCUUUGAUAUUCGUUUACUUUGGCAAUUCUCCUACCCUUGUGGUUUCAUCGGCUGAGUUGGCUGGUGAUAUGUUUAAAACUCAUGACAUUGUGAUCUCGAACCGGCCCAAAACCACACCUGCUAACAUCCUCAUAUAUGAAUGCCAAGAUAUCUCGUUCUCUGAUUACGGCGAGUACUGGAGACAAGUUCGGAAGAUUUGUAUUCUUCAACUCUUGAGUGUGAGAAGAGUGCAAUCAUUUCAGCAUGUUAGAGAUGAUGAAGUUU
rnacentral:lncRNA from 1 species